rnacentral:lncRNA from 1 species
AGUAGUCGCUGAUCAGUUUGGAAAACCUGCGGAUGGCAGUGAUCAUAUGAAAGCCUUGGCUGACUUAAAAUCCAAAUUUCGUCGACUAGAAAAUGAAGAGGAAUCUGAAUCUCCAUUAUCAUCAAGUGUAAAGCCACAACGUCCCUUAUCAUCAAGUGUAAAGCCACAAUGUCCCAUGGUUCCAAAGAGGUUGCGACCAGAUGUCAAGGGUGCUGAAGACUACUACUAUGCGCCAAAACUCAUUUCUUUGGGUCCUUACCACCAUGGCAAGCCCCACCUCAAGGAUGGAGAAACGCUCAAGCUUAAAUUGGCAGAAGCCUACAUCCAAGAAUGUGAGCCAACAGUGGAUGAAAUUUACAACACAAUUAGCGAUAGCAUUAGUGAGCUGAGGGGCUGUUAUGAUGCGGAGUCGACAAAGAAAUAUAAGGAUGACGAAUUAACCAUCAUGAUGCUGGUGGACGGGUGUGCUCUACUCUGUUACAUUUUAUGCGUUUGCUUAGGUUAUGGCCAUGAAGAUUUCAAUAUCAGAUAUCAGGAUAUAAGCCUUCUGCACCAGGAUGCGUUGCUGCUGGAAAACCAACUUCCCUAUCAAUUACUCCUUGAGCUGAUGAAGAUGGUGGACCCAGGAUCAGCCAAUGAUUUUUGGACGGCCAUGUUCCAGGAAUUCUUCGGCAUCAGCGACGAGUCAAUAUUUCAGGAAUUUAUCGGUAUGAAGAAGAAGGAGUCAUUCCUGCAAAAAAUGAAGAAUUAUUGCCCCCGCCUAUUCCUCCCAAUCAACCAAAUUAUUGACCCCAAAUCGAAGCCGCAAAGUCCUAAUAACGAGUCAAAGCCUUGUCAUCAUCUCCUCGAUCUCUUCCGAAGAAAUUUCCUAGGCGAUGAACGUUCCGGCAGCCCAACGCACCCAGAAAAUGAAAAUUUGGAAGGUCCUUCGUCAUCGGAAACUGAAAUUGGCCGGAGGCUGGGUAGAGCAUCAGUUAGAGAUGUGAAGGAGGUUAUGGCAUCAUUUAGAAAUGUGAAGGAGCUGAUGGACGCUGGAAUCCGCAUCAAGCGCAGUCCUACACGUCACUUGAGGGACAUUUCUUUCCGUUCAAAUGGGAUCACCGCAUGCCUGAGAAUUCCUCCCAUCACCAUUGAUAACUCAACCAAGGCUAUGUUCUUGAACUUGAUAGCCUAUGAAAUGAGCUCAGACGUCGACCAUGACUUCAUCUCUUACCUUCGCUUCCUUGAUUCCCUCAUUGAUCAUGCUGAUGACGUUAAGGAGCUGCAGUCCAUCGGGAUACUCCAAAACAAUCUAGGAACCCACGACGAAGUAGCUCAAUUCUUCAACACCGUGUCCGCCAACUUGGAAUCCAACUUUCAUGCUUACAAAGACGUGAGAGUGAAAAUUCGGAAGCACCUUCAGAGUCACUAUAACAGCAAACUGACAAUGUGGAUGACACAAUGCCUGGACACCUAUUUCGGUAGCCCCUGGACUAUCAUAGCUUGGGUUGGUGCAGCUUUGGCCCUAUUCCUUACUUUCGUCCAGACUUACUUCUCAGUCUUCCCUCAUUGAUGCAUGCCUGCCCUCUUUUCAACUAUCACCGUCUCAAUUAAGGUAAUAUCCACUCCAAAUUUCCUUGUUCUUCUUGCUAUCUGCAUUUUACCUAGUCCAUGUAAAUUAAGCAAAGACUCAUUGGCUUCAUGCGCUUUUGACCUUACCUAUUUUGUGUUUUUGGUUUCAGCCUAUUUUCUACAUUGCUUUCCGUGCUUAAAUUAAGUAACGAAUGAAUAUGUAGUGUGACCUUAGUUUGGUGAUUUUGUGCUUUCGCAAGCAUGUGCUAUGCUUAUAUAUAUGCAUCAUCAGCAAUAUUAUGUUUGAUUUAAGUACGUAAAUAAAGAUAGAUAUAGGUGGAAUAUUUUUUUUUCUAUGUUUAUAUUCCUGUUAAUGUAUUAUAUAUAUGUUAGGUCUGGCAAUUUUUUAUCUCAUACCAUUUUUAAUUAAAUCAUUUUUAAACUAUAGUUACUAAGCCAAAAAUUAUAAUGCUCUAGAAAUAUAAUCAAUCUCAUUGUCGAAUUUUUCUAAACUAAUCUCAGAAUAAGCUCGAUAUCUCUAACAAUAUAUUAUUUAAGGCACAUAAUAUUCCAAAAAAAAUUCUGCAAAAGAAAAAGAAAUUUGUUGAGAAGUGGUUUAUUUUAGUUGAUCUCUUAUUAUAUUUAGGAAUAUGGACAAAAUGUUAUAUUUAGGAAUAUGAACAAAACAACAUUUUGUCCGAUAGAAAUUUACCCAUCAAUAUGAAUGGAUAGAAAUUUACCCAUCAACAUGAAUGGUAUGGAAAUUUGACUAAUGCUUGUAAGAUCGGAUUUGUAAAUAUUUGUGGGUGAGUUUCUUUUGACAACCGAUGGACAAAUUCAUGUCAUGUAAGACUUAUUUGACAACAUUCUAAAAUAAUGUUGCUAAAAAUAUUUAAGAAUAGUUCUGAAAAUAUGUUUUACCUGUUUUUAGGAAUAAAAUUCUAACUUAUUUUGAGAAUAUUCUUAAAAAAAAAAGAAAAAAAAAAAGAGAGAAUGUUGUUAAAACUUGUUAAGAAUAUUUUUAAAAAUAUGUUUUAUUUGUUUUUAGGAAUAAAAUUCCAUUUAAGAAGCCUAGUCCUUCGCAAAGGCAUGUGCCACCAUCUAUAAUGGAAGAAGUUCACACCUAUUUUUCAUUUUUUUUUUGUUCUUUUUUUAAAACACUUGCAUAGCUUCUGGAUUAAAGUUCUUAAAGAUUAUUUUCAAAAUUUGAUGUAAUAAUUUAAAAAAAAAUUACUAUAAAUAUAUAUAUAUAUAUAUAGAGUUACUAUUAUUUUUAAUUUUACAAAAUAAAAAACAAAAAAUGUACCUAAAGGAUACCUUAAUUUCAACUUAUUAACUAUAUGUAAAAUUAAAAGUAUUUUUCUCCUUUUCAACUUGUUACAUACUUCAGUGCUUGUAUAUUGCUUCCAUACCAUAUGAUAAGAUGUGGCUAAAAUUGAUCUUCAUGUCAAGAAUUGGAAGCCUUCAAUAUGUUGUAAUUGCUUAAAAGAUUUCGCUUUGAGUUAUGUUUCUUGUGGGGUGAUGGCAAAGAAAACCAACAAAUUAAUAGAAAAACUAUAAAUAUAAUUCAGAAUUAAGGAAAAAAGAAAUACAAUAUUGAAGGUGCAGUAGAAUAAAAAGGAGUGUGGGCAUGAAUGAUAUGUAAAAACUCACCCAAUAGAAUCCUUUAUGAAGUAAAUAUUUUCAUAUCAUACGAUCCAAUGUUAAUCCUUCAUAACCUAUGGAACUGUAGAACCUUGAGAGGAAAAAAGCCACUCACAAAUUAUGACACAAACAGAAACUAGGAACAGUGGAAGAAAAUUGAAAAACUGAUCUCCCUUUCCGAGUCCAGCAACAAAAUUAGUGUCCAACCUUAAAAUGGGCAUGUGUGGUAUUGACGAGAGAUGCUAAGAUGGAAAUCAUAACCAUAGUCAUGUUCUCUCUGUGUCUUUGUGUCUUUCUAACCCACUUUUUUUAAGAAAAUAAUAGACCAAGACUAUAAUUAUCAAUUAUGACUUUAUUGUUUAAUUUAUAUUCUUUAACAAUUUUUUUAUUUUUUUAAGAAUAAUUUGUUUUACUAUAAUGGUAGGUGAUGAAUUUAUUUUCUUAAUAAAAGGCCUCCCAAUAAGGCAAUAGUUUCAUGUUUUUUUUUUAUCCUCUGCUUUUGUUGCAACUCUUCUGCUUCCGACCUUUCAUUAACCUAAAUAUUAGAAGUUUCUAAUUCAGUCCAUUGCACUCCAGUUGUCUAAAUACGGAAGCUUCUUCCACGACCCAGUUGCACUUUGGAAAGUUAAGCUUAAGAUUUACGAAGUUUCUGAAAAUUACAGUUUAUUUAGUUUCUAAAAUCCAAUUAGCUAGAUAUUUUAUUUGAUUUCUUUUUAUAUUUAAGUAGUUGAGUUUUGGAAAGUUUUUAUAUUUUAUUAAUAGAAAAAAAAAAUUUAUAUUUUUUAUUAUUAGGAAUUUCUAUUUUGUUAAAUUGUAAGUAUCUAUCUCAAUAAGAGAUUAUUAAUAUUCGAAUGAAAGUGAUGAAAGAUAGUAAAUAUUUUAAUGCUCCUCAAUUAUAUUUUAAUGUUAUUUUUUUACAUGAGGGUUAAUUCAAUUUUAAUUUCAACAUGUAAUAUGUUAAAAAUAUUAUAAAAUAGAACUAUAAAGGAGUAUUUACUUAUUUUAUAAUAUUUUCAAUCUACAAUUUUCAAAAAUCAAUAUUUAAAAAAGGUAUUAAAACAUCCCUUCUCUUCAAUAUAAAAGCAUUAUUGUAACAUAUUGUGGACCCCGCAUUUUGCCCAAUGCGUUCCCACUCGAUGACAAAACUCGCUUUCUAUUUAUUUUGUGAAAAAUAUGAUUUUUUUCAAAAGACUUAGAGUCGCCACUUAUUUUUGUUUUAUUUUUAAAGGAAAAACAAAAUAAGAAAGAAAAACCCUAAAUGUGAUUCCUUAUUUGGAAAAAAUAGGUCUGUGAAAAAUCACGUCGGGUCCGAGGGUCAGGUUACUUAUUGGAAAAGUACGGUGGUGAGCCAUAACACCCCUCUAAGUCCAUAAAAACGGGUCUCUACUAAUAAAAUGAAGCAAACAUGACAAUUGGUAAGGAAAUCAAUGGAUACAAAAGUGAUCACAAAUUAAAAGUAAUCAUGAUAAUGAAUAAAUGAACGAAGUGAGAGCGAGAGUGUACCUUGGCAGCAGGUAAUAAAGCGUUAUUAUGAAACAAAGUUAGUGCACAAUAACAAAUACAAAAUAUAUCACAUGCAUGUCAAAUAUUAGAACAAAAAAAAAAAAAAUAUUCAUUAGGCAUAGCAAUUAACAAUCAGAAGAGAAAUCUCAUAUGUAGGGUCCCCCACCAAAGCCCAAUUUAUCUUGCAUGCAUUGGUCUCACAAAUUUUAUUAUUUCGAAAUUAUGAAAAAUUCAUUCUUACUUAUGAAAAAUCAAAAGAAACAGAAGAUUAUUUGAAAACCGGAGUGGAAUUAAAACUGUUCAAAAUUUGUUUGAAAAUUGGAGUCUCGAAAAUUAUUUGAAAAUUGGAGUCUUGGGAAUUAAAUUUAAGAAUUGGAAUUUUGGAAAUUAAAUUUGAAAGAAAUUGGAAUUUUUUAAAAUUAUUUAAGAAUUAGAGUUUUUAAAAUUAUAUUAAGGAAUUGGAACUUUAGAAAUUAAAUUUGAAAGAAAUUAGCAAAUUAUUUGAGAAUUAGAGUUAUGAAAAUUAAAUUAUGAAAAUUGGAAUCUUGGAAAUUAUUUGAAGAUGGAAAAAAUAAACAAAAUAAUAAUAGUAAUAAUAAAUAAAUAAAUAAAUAAAUGUGAAAAUUGGAAUUUCGGAAAUUGGAAAUUAAAUUCGGAAAUUGAAAAAUUGGAAUUUCAAAAAUUGAGAAUUAAAAUUGAAAAUCAGAAUUUUGAAGAAUUAUUUACAAAUGGAAUUUUAAAAAUAAAUUAAUUAAUUAAAUAAUGAUAAUAACGAAGAUAACAAUGAUUAAAUAAAUAAAUUUGAAAAUUAGAAUUUUGGAAAUUGGAAAUUAAAUUCGAAAAUUAGAAAAUUGGAAUUUAGGAAAUUCGGAAUUGAAUUUGGAAAUCGGAAUUUUGAAGAAUUAUUUAAAAAUAGAAUUUUAAAAAUAAAUUAAAUAAUGAUAAUAACGAAUAUGAUAAUGAUUAAAUAAAUAAAUAUGAAAAUUAGAAUUUUAGAAAUUGGAAAUUAAAUUCGGAAAAUUGUAAUUUAGGAAAUUGGAAAUUGAAUUUGGGAAUCGAAAUUUUGAAGAAUUAUUUAAAGAUGAAAUUUUAAAAAUAAAUAAAUUAAUUAAUUAAAUAAUGAUAAUAACGAAGAUAGCAAUGAUUAAAUAAAUAAAUUUGAAAAUUAGAAUUUUGGAAAUUGGAAAUUAAAUUCGGAAAUUGAAAAAUUGGAAUUUUGGAAAUUGGGAAUUGAAUUUGGAAAUCGGAAUUUUGAAGAAUUAUUUAAAGAUGAAAUUUUUGAAAACUUGAUUUAAAAGGAGAUGGAGUUUCAAAAAUUUAUUUGAAGGUGUCAUUUUAAAAAUUAAAUUUAGAAUUGUGGAAUUUUUGGAAGAUUAAAAUUAAAAUUUUGAAUUUGGGAAAAUUAAAUUUAAAGUUAGAGUUUUAGAAAAUUAUUUCAAGAAUUGAAUUUUGAAGAAUUAAAUUUAAAAUAUUGAAGUUUUGGAAAAUUGAACUUAAGAUCUGAAAUUUCGUAAACUAAAUUUAAAAAUCAAAUUUUACAAGAUUAUUUCGAAAAGGGUACUUAUAUAUAUAUAUAUAUAUAUAUAUUAAUAAAAUAAUAAAUAAAUAGAUAAAUAAAAAUAAAUAAAUAAAGCAAAUAAAAUGAAUGAAUAAAUGAAUAAAUUUGAAACUUUGGGAUUUUAGAAGAAUUAUUUGAUAACAGAAUUUAAAAAAAAAAUGAAAUUUUUAACAUGAAAAGUGGAAUUACGAAGAUGGCACGUGAAAGAAAAGAUAAAAAACUAAUAAUAAUUCACCAUGAGGCCACUGGACCCAUGCCACUAAUAAAAAAAAAACUCAUGCCUUUGACUUUUCAUUCACCAAUUGUUUAAACAAUUUCCUACUGUCAAUGAACCACCAAGAAGUGGAGUAAUGAAGCCCCACUUCUCCACGAAAAAAAAAAAAACACCAGUAUGUAUCUGACUAGUGAUGACAAACUGUGGUGGCGAACAAGGAUAGAAGACGAUGUAGAGUUUGGAAGGCCCCAAAUCACCACUUGGGAGACUUUGAAGAAGGAAUUGAAGGAUCAGUUCCUUCCCACCAACAUUGCUUGGGUGGCCAAAGAAGCGUUGAAAAGGGUCAAACACACCGGAUCUGUAAGGGACUACGUCAAGGAAUUCAGUUCCUUGAUGCUGGACAUAAAGAACAUGUCAGAUGAGGACAAGCUCUUCAAUUUCAUGUCUAGAUUGCAAGGGUGGGCUCAAACGGAACUUAGGAGGCAAGAGAUUCGUGAUCUCCCUGUUGCCAUGGUUGCAGCAGAUUGCCUGGUGGACUACAAGAUGGGUGGCGCCAUCUCCACCAUGUAGAGACCUAAGUCAGAAGGAGGUAAGAAGGCUAAGGUUGAGGGCAAGACUUCUAAGAAAUCUGGGUGGAAGAAACAGAACAAGAAGCCUGUUGUAGAGGGAAAACCAGUGGAAAAGACCAUAAAGUUUGUGCAGCAGACCACCCGGAUGGUAGGAUGUUUCAUCUGCAAUGGCCCUCAUCGAGCCAGAGACUGCCCCAAAAGAAAGAAACUCUCAGCCCUUGUGACUGUAGACGACAAGGGAGAGUCUGACUUAGAGACUCCUCUUAGAGUCAACCCACUGCAACUCCUGAACGUGAUUAAUGGUGAGACUCCAGUCCAUAAGUCCCUAAUGCAUGUCCAUGCAGUUGUAAAUGGUGUGCAGGUGAAGGCCUUGGUGGACAGUAGUGCCACGCACAACUUCGUGGCCACCAGAGAAGCAACCAGGUUGGGAUUGAAGUUGGAAGAGGAUACUAAUUAGAUCAAGGCAGUCAAUAGCAAAGCCCAGAAAAUCCAAGGGGUAGCAAAGAAUGUCCCCAUGCAAAUUAGUGACCGGAAGGGCACAUGCAACCUACUUUGUGUACCCUUGGACGACUUCAACUUGAUCAUCGGUGUAGAUUUCCUCUUGAGGGCUAAGGUGGCCUUGAUCCCACAUCUUGGUGGGCUGGUGGUGUUAGAAGAAAAGCAGUCUUAUUUCAUGAAGGCCUUGAGGGUGAAGGAUGGUGGCAAGGGUUAACAUGAGAUGCUGUCUACUAUCCAUUUGAAGAAGGGAUUGAAGAGGGGUCAGGAGACUUAUGUUACAACCUUGAUCGAGAUCAAGGAGAGAUAGUCUGUGGAAGUCCCUGAUUCAGUGGUCAAAAUCCUUAAGGAGUUCAGAGAUGUGAUGUCUGCAGAACUCCCCAAAGAAAUGCCACCUAGGCGGCCUAUUGACCACAAGAUUGAAUUGCUACCUGGAACAAAGGCCCCGGCUUAAGCUCCUUACAGGAUGCCUCCUGCGGAGUUGUUGGUGUUACGUAAGUAAUUGAAGGAACUGUUGGAUGCAGGCCUGAUCCAGCCCUCAAGGGCCCCAUAUGGUGCACCAAUGAUGUUCCAAAAGAAGCAUGAUGGCUCUCUCCGCAUGUGUGUAGAUUAUAGAGCUCUCAACAAGGUGACCAUCAAGAACAAGUACCCGAUCCCCUUGGCUGCCGAGCUGUUUGACAGAUUGUCAAAAGCCUCUUACUUCACCAAGUUGGACCUAAGAUCGACUACUGGCAAGUGCGAAUUGCAGUAAGAGAUGAGAAGAAUACCACCUGUGUAACUCGGUAUGGAUCAUACGAGUUUCUGGUAAUGCCAUUUNNNNNNNNNNNNNNNNNNNNNNNNNNNNNNNNNNNNNNNNNNNNNNNNNNNNNNNNNNNNNNNNNNNNNNNNNNNNNNNNNNNNNNNNNNNNNNNNNNNNUAAUGCCCCUGCUACAUUCUGCAAUUUGAUGAAUGAUGUUCUGUUUGAUUACUUAGAUGCAUUUGUGGUAGUGUAUCUAGAUGAUAUUGUGGUUUACAGUAAGACUCUAACAGAACAUGAGAAACACUUGAGAUUGGUGUUUCAGAGAUUGAGGGAGAACAUGCUUUAUGUAAAGCCAAAGAAAUGUGAGUUUGCUCAGGAGGAUAUCACAUUUCUAGGACACAAGAUCAGUGCAGGUCUGAUCAAGAUGGAUAAAGGCAAGGUGCAGGCUAUUAUGGAGUGGCCAGUCCUUAGCAAAGUGACUGAGUUGCGGUCCUUCCUUGGCUUGGCCAAUUACUACAGAAGGUUCAUUAAGGGGCAUUCAAAGAGGGUGUCUCCCCUUACUGACCUAUUGAAGAAGGACAACCAGUGGAGUGGAGCAUGUAGUGUCAGAUGGCCUUUGAAGGCUUGAAGGAAGCCAUCUCCACUGAGCUUGUGCUACGUUUGCCAGACUUAGACUUACCCUUUGAAGUCCAGACAAAUGCCUCAAAUAGAGCUUUGGGUGGAGUCUUGGUGCAAGAAGGGCACCCUAUGGCAUUUGAAAGUAGGAAGUUGAAUAAUGUUGAGCAGAGGUACUCCACUCAUGAGAAGGGGAUGAUAAUUGUGGUUCACUGCCUGCAGCAGUGGAGACACUACUUAUUGGGAAGCAUUUUUACAGUGGUCACUGAUAAUGUGGCCAACACCUUCUUCAAAACUCAAAAGAAGCUGAGUCCCAGACAAACACGAUGGUAGGAGUUCCUGGCCAACUUCAAAUUUGAAUGGCUGCAUCGACCAGGAAGACAUAACACUGUGGCUGAUGGCUUCAGUAGGAAAGAGGUGAUUGCCUACAUCAUGGCCCUCUCAGAAGUCAUCUUUGACUUCAAUAAGAAAAUCAAGCAAGUUGCAGAGUAGGAUGCUGCAUAUGGCAGGUUGAAGCGGCAAGUUAAGGAGGGUGUGAUAAGGAGGUAUUGGCUAGAGGGAGACCUCCUUGUGGCAAAAAGAGGAAGAUGGUAUGUUCCUGCAGGCGGCCUGAGAAAUGAAUUAUUGCAGAAAACUCAUGACGCAAAGUGGGCAGGUCAUUCCGGUGAAGAGAAGACUCUGGCACUGCUAGCCAUAUCCUACUAUUGACCUAAGAUGGGUGAGGAUGUCCAGGCAUAUGUGAAAUCCUAUCUGGUUUGUCAGAUGGACAAGACCAAGAUGAAGAAGGUUGUAGGGUUGCUACAACCCCUCUCCAUUCCAGAGAAACCUUAGGAGAGCAUUUCCAUGGAUUUCAUCACUGGAUUUCCAAAGGUUUGUGACUUUAAAUCUAUCUUUGUUGUUGUAGAUAGAUUCUUUAAGUAUGUUGUGUUUAUACCUGCCUCUGAUGCUUGCUCUACGGAGGAAGCGACUAAGUUGUUUUUCAGUAAUGUUGUCAAGCACUUUGGGUUGCCUAGGGACAUAGUCAAUGAUCGAGAUGCACGGUUCAUAGGCCGAUUUUGGGUUGAGUUGUUCAAACUCUUGGGUUCAUAGUUGAAGUUUUCUACAGCCAACUACCCUCAUACUGUCGGUACUCGCACGGAUUCUACCAUUUCCCGGUAUUCGCCGGGAUUUUACGAUUUUUCGUUAUUCGCUCGGAUUCUACCAUUUUCAUUUAGUCACACUGAUUCAACCCUUUUCCGGUACUCGCCCGAACAGUUUUUCGGUACUCGCACGGAUUCUACCAUUUCCCGGUAUUCGUUGGGAUUUUACGAUUUUUCGGUAUUCGCCCGGAUUCUACCAUUUUCAUUCAGUCACACUGAUUCAACCCUUUUCCGAUACUCGCCCGGAGAGUUUUUCGGUAUUCGCACGGAUUCUACCAUUUCCCGGUAUUCGCCGGGAUUUUACGAUUUUUCGGUAUUCGCUCGGAUUCUACCAUUGUCAUUUAGUCACACUGAUUGAACCCUUAUCCGGUACUCGCCUGGAGAGUUUUUCGAUACUCGCACGGAUUCUACCAUUUCCCAGUAUUCGGUUGGAUUUUACGAUUUUUCGGUAUUCGCUCGGAUUCUACCAUUUUCAUUUAGUCACACUGAUUCAACCCUUUUUCGGUACUCGCCCGAACAGUUUUUCAGUAGUCGCACGGAUUCUACCAUUUCCUGGUAUUCGUUGGGAUUUUACGAUUUUUCGGUAUUCGCUCGGAUUCUACCAUUGUCAUUUAGUCACACUGAUUGAACCCUUAUCCGGUACUCGCCUGAAGAGUUUUUCGAUACUCGCACGGAUUCUACCAUUUCCCGGUAUUCGGUUGGAUUUUACNNNNNNNNNNNNNNNNNNNNNNNNNNNNNNNNNNNNNNNNNNNNNNNNNNNNNNNNNNNNNNNNNNNNNNNNNNNNNNNNNNNNNNNNNNNNNNNNNNNNCAUGACGCAAAGUGGGCAGGUCAUUCCGGUGAAGAGAAGACUCUGGCACUGCUAGCCAUAUCCUACUAUUGACCUAAGAUGGGUGAGGAUGUCCAGGCAUAUGUGAAAUCCUAUCUGGUUUGUCAGAUGGACAAGACCAAGAUGAAGAAGGUUGUAGGGUUGCUACAACCCCUCUCCAUUCCAGAGAAACCUUAGGAGAGCAUUUCCAUGGAUUUCAUCACUGGAUUUCCAAAGGUUUGUGACUUUAAAUCUAUCUUUGUUGUUGUAGAUAGAUUCUUUAAGUAUGUUGUGUUUAUACCUGCCUCUGAUGCUUGCUCUACGGAGGAAGCGACUAAGUUGUUUUUCAGUAAUGUUGUCAAGCACUUUGGGUUGCCUAGGGACAUAGUCAAUGAUCGAGAUGCACGGUUCAUAGGCCGAUUUUGGGUUGAGUUGUUCAAACUCUUGGGUUCAUAGUUGAAGUUUUCUACAGCCAACUACCCUCAUACUGAUGGGCAGACUGAGAGAAUCAACGCCUUGCUGGAAGAAUACCUCAAGCAUUAUGUGACAGCAAUACAAAAGAAUUGGGUGGAUUUGUUAGAUACUGCCUAGUUGUGUUAUAAUCUGCAGAGGAGCUCAACAACAAGGAUGAGUCCCUUUGAGCUGGCUAUUGGGGUACAGCCACAGAUGCCUUUGGAGGUAGCUAAGCAAAAAGCAGAAGGAGGUAGUCCUGCAGCUUACAAGAUGGCUCAAUCCCGGCAUGAGAUGUUUGAUGAAGCCCGGGACAGUCUAGAGAAGGCAGUUAGAUGAAUGAAGAAGUAUGCGGAUCAUGACCGCAAAUCCUUGGAAUUUUAGGUUGGGGACAAGGUCCUCUUGAAAUUGACUCAUAAGAUAUGGAAGAAAAUCAGUAGCAAGACAAGGCAGAGGAGUCUAAUUCCUAAGUAUGAUGGACCAUUCGAGGUGAUAAAACGAGUUGGGCAGAUGACCUACAUGUUGAAGCUGCCUGAGAGGCUCAAGCUUCACCUAACUUUCCAUGUUAGCUUUCUAAAUCUUUACCAUGAGGAUCUGGAUGUAGAGAGAGUGCAAAUAAAGCGGGCCCUUCUCUUGGUCAUGAAGCAGUUUGAUCGAGAGAUAGAGAAAAUCUUAAAUCAUAGGACCAUGGGACAUAGCAGAAAGAACCGACGAACUGAUUUCUUGGUUUAGUGGAAGUGGACUUCAAAAGUAGAAGCUACAUGGGAGAGGAAUGUUACCUUAUGGCAAUUUGAGACGGCGGUCCAAACAUAUUGGUAGACUAAGUCGACGAGGGUGUCAACUUCAAUAGGCGGGGGUGGGUUUGUCAGCCCCUUAACCACUUGACUCUACCAUGGAGGAAAAGGCCUCAUGGGUAAACCUUGCACCCAUGAGAGCCUAGACGGAGAAAGCAAGGAAGACUUAGAGGUUUGGUGGUUCAAACUCCAAGAGCUAAGUGAGAAGGCCAUGUGUGAGCUAGACACGCACCGUGGACGAGCCUGACGCACACCGUGCGUGCAUCGCGAGCGAGUCAAACAAGCACCGCGUGCGCAUUAGAUGGGCACCGCGUGCACACUAGAUGGGCAUCGCGCGCGCACCAAUCUUAGGUAGUGCAGAUGAAGGCUGAAGGCUACUUUUGGAAUUUAAUUUAUAUUUAUUUAAUAUUCCAUUAUGUCUCAUCAGGCAUAUUAAUGUCUCCUCCAGAAACAAUGAAAACGACUUGUAUUACUCUUUAGGGGGGGGGGGGGGGGGGGGGGGGGGGGGGGGAGGAGGUAAGCAACUCAAAAAGGGAAGCACCAAGGGAAAGCCUUGACCGCACCAAGAGGGCACCAUGACACGACCUUGGGCGUGCCUAGGACACACGGAUAGGACUCGAGCACGCACACAUGGGCUCCACGACAUGUGUGGUGUGCACCACGUGGCCACAACGGCACGGGGCCUGGUGCGGCCUACCUCCUCCUCGUGUAGGCAUGAGGACGCCUAAACCUUGUGCAGUGAGCCAGUUGAGGAAGUCAUGGGCGCAAUACCAUGGCUUGAUGGGGCAUUAAACAACAAUUGACUAGCACCCAUGAUGCCUACGUACAGCACAAGGGCGCAAUGCCCUGUGCACUAAGAGGGAUCAGUCAUGAACGCAAUGUCAUGGCUCGUUGCUAUGAAGUUGGACCUCACAUUGGAAGCAAGCAACAUGCCCAAGCCAUGGGCACCUAAACAUGACAUGGGCUCACAUAUCAGUGUGGGGAAGACACACUGAUGCACCAGACACUUGGUCAGCUGGUUGGUGCACGUUGCCUAGUUCUGAAGGCCUUGAUCAAAGACACGCUGGUGGGCACCAGGUCAUAAGAGGCACCUUGCGGGAAAGGAGGCAACUUGUUAAGGGGACUCUUCAGCAGCUUGGUGAGAAAGGCUUGAGGAGAUGGCAAUGCAACAAGCUAGUGGCAGCUAGUUGGGAUAGCAAGUGAUCAAGUCAAGCAGCCAAUUGACUUGCAGUUGGCUGAGGUGUUGAUGGCUGGUGCAAGUGGGUGGUUCACGAGCAGGCCACUAUCUGGGUGGUGGGUGGUUAUGCAGGACAGUUAUGGGCGCAUUUGGCCAAUUGCAUAACCACUAGAUUGGCUUCAACUUUUAAAUUUGGUAAUUCAAAAAUGUAACUGCAGAAUGAGUCUUUUAAAAGGGCUCCUGCAUCCUUGAAAUAGAGAGUGAGAGAUUGGGAUAGGGUUCUCUUAAUGCUUGGGGUGUGAAGUAUUGUACUAUGACUCAGGGGAAACAAUUUUGUCUUGUAGAGUGAAUUAAUACAAGUUGGGAAAGGUUUCCUGUAAAUCGUUGGUGUCCCUGUUACUGUGCUUUUACUUUGCUUUUACUCUAUUUUUGAAAAGGCUGGGAAGGAAGGUUGGCUAAGGAAGGGUCCUUAGCACCGCACACUCGUGAAAAAUUUAGUGUGAUCUUCAGGGGGGUGUAACAGUGAGUAUAGUGUCGGGUUUGAGCAUCUCCAAGCAUUUCAAUAUGGUUCAAAUGGCUCUCAAACAUCCAGAAAUUCCCAACAGUAUGAAAAAUGGCUCUCAUGGUGCUCUCCCAGAAACACCUCCACCCAAGAUGGCCAACCUCAAACGUAAUGCCCAACACUCUAAAAUAUACCAAAAGCAGAGGAGAAAGUAAACAAAAGCAAAGCAUGCACAAACGUAAAUGAUACCGUUAAACCUAGCUCCAUUUCAUAAAGAUCAAUGGGCUGGAUAUAGGCGGAACCAAAAGAAAGCAAGAACGUGAUCUUCAAAACCUUAUUCAAGCAUCAAGAUGAACCCAAAAUUGGCGGGAAAUGAAAUAGAACAAACCGAAAUGGGAAAUGCAAAGCAUGCUAAAAUCAUACCUGACCAAAACGACAGGCUUUUCCUCUGCUCAAACUCGGAAUGUCCCUUUCUCCUAUCUUUCUUAGCUAGCUCUGCUACCCUUCCUCCAUGUCUCCUAUCAGCUGGGUUUUUCUUAUUUUCUCAGCCCGCUUCAUAACCACCAGAAAAACGAAAAAAAAUCUCUUCUUACCUCCUUCCAGCUUACUUCUCCUCCAAGCUAUAUCCAUAUCCCAUCUCAUUUGGCAACCCAAUAGCUCACCCAUCAGUCCUCUUUGGCUGCCCCAAAAACAGCUCACUUCUAAGGUAGUCAGAAAAAGAAAAAAAGAAGAAAGAAGGAAAAAAAAAAUGCUUCCAUCCGAGGGGGUCUACACAUAUACAUUUUGUUCUAAUUUUCUAAUAGUUGUGCACAGUUGAAGGGAAAACAAUUUGAUUUUCUAAUUAAUAUUACUUUUAUAAAUACUUUAAUUACUUUUAUAAAAUUGAUUCAUAAUGAUUUUAUUAUUUCUUUGGAACUCAUAAAAUAAAUCUAAUUACGACAGAAAAAGAAAAAGAGAAAAGUGAGUUUUGAUCACUAAUUUGAAAAAUACAAAAAUAAAAAACUUCAGCUUUUAUAAAUCAUUUGUAUCUUCAUUUAUUUAAAAUUAUUUUAAAAUACAUGCACUUUUUUAUAACUCAAAUAAUUAUUUCCUAAAAUGACCUUAUUAUUUAUGAUGUUAAUAAUAUCAUUUUUUUUUAACCAUGAGAACCUAUUUGAGAUUAAUAAAAUGAGAAAUUUUAAAAAUUUUAAAUACAAUUAAAACUAAAAAAACUUUAAAGUUAAAAAUAUAAAAAUAAAAUAUUAUAUUUUUUUAUUAUAUUUUUGGUUUUUAAUUGUAUUUAAUUUUUAUGUAUUUUAGUUUUAAUUAUAUUUUUAAAUUUUAUAAAUUUCUUAUGUUAUCCUUAAUUGAUGUCAACUAAUAAAAUUUAUAUUCAAUUUUAUUUAUUUUUUUUAAAUGAGAAGAUGUGGGGGUUUAUCUAAUACAAAACAUAAAAUCAUAUUAACUAGGGGAUUAACAAGAUUUUAUUUAUUACUUGAUGAUGUUGGAAAAUUUUUCCACGAUGAUUUGUAUCUUAUGUUAUAUAAUAAAAUUUUAUAAUAUAUUUAUUUAUAAAAUAUUUUUAUCAAAUUAAAAUAAUAAAUUUGGAUAAAUUCAUUUAAUAUUAUCAAAUAAAAAUGUAUUUUAGGAAAUAAUUAUUUAACUUAUGAAAAAGUGUAUAUAUUUUAAAAAAAAUUAAAUGGAUAAAGAUAAAAUUGAUUUAUAAAAUUUAAUUUUUUUUUUCUAUAUUUUUUCAAAUUAGGUUAAAACCCACUUUUUCUCAAAAAAAUAAUAGACCAAAUCUAUAAUUAUCAAUUACAAACCUACAAUUAUCAAUUAUGACUUUAUUGUUUAAUUUAUAUUCUUUAACGAAUUUUUAAAAUUUUUAAGAAUAAUUUGUAAUUCAAAAAAUUGGUCCAUUUAAUUACAAAUUAAAUAAAAAAUUCCAUAAUAUGUUGUUAUCCUUGUAUGUAAUAAAAAACUCGGAUUAUUUAUAUGUUAUAAAAGUUAAAAUUUAUUUAUUUUUAAAUUAAUUUUAUAUAAAAUAUUAUUAAUUGUUAUUAUUUUUAAACAAUUAUUAUUCAUUUUUUAAAAAAAAUAAUUAUACUUUUACAAAAAUAUUAAUAUCCAUAUUUUUAUAAUAUAUAUUAAAAUAGUAUAUUUUUAUGAAAAAAAAAAUAAUUUUAUGACUUUAUUAUAAUAUUACUAUUCAUAUUUCACUAAAUUUAAUUUAUUUGUAACAACAAAAAAAACUAUUUUCAUUUUUAAUAAAACUUAAAUUAAAUCUAAUUAAUAUGGUAUAAAUAGAAUUUAUAACAUUUUUACAAAAUCAAAAUAGAAAAAAAAAAUUAAACCAAUUUAUUCAAAUAAACUUGUUUUUUCUUUUUUCUAAAUAUUUUUAAAAACAAUUUAUCUAAUACUCUUAUUUUUAUAAAAUAUUAAAAUAACAAUUUUUUUAUUUAAAAAAAAACAUGAAAAAAGCAUGGUCACAACAAACCUAAAAAUAAUUAUGAUUCUAUGUACUUUUUCAUUAAAUGUGCUAUUUUUUACCAUUCACGUGUUAUGCCUUACUGAUGUAGAUCAAAGUUACGCAUAAGAUUAAAAAUGAUUUUUGUACUGUUGCUAUUUUGACGGGUUUUUUUUUUUUCAAAUGAAACAUGCUUUUUGCCCUUUUUGCCCCCACUCUGAUUGAGGGUUUGGUUUAUUUCACUAGCACGGAGCCCUCUCCAUCUGCCAGCCUACCUGACAACUCUGAACCGCUCUUUAAGUCUUUGUUUUUCCUCUUUCAUCAAUGACACAAAUAACUCUCACAUCAGGCGUUUUAAUCUAUUACUGCCACAGGCCCACAAGCAUCAGACAAGGUAUUAAUAGAGGCUUCUCUUUGAUACACCUCAAUAACCAUCCAUGUAAGAUAUGUAUAUUAAACACUAUGAUUCAAUACAUUAUUAUAUACAAACCAGAUGAACCCAGUUACCCACAACCUAGCUUAUUAUAAUUUUUUUAUUUGAAUUAAAUUAAAUGAUUUCAUAAUAAUACUUUUUUUUAUUUUGAAAUAAUAGGUGUUGUGCAAUUUGUUUUACUUUAUUGGUAGGUUAUGAAUUAUUAUUAUUAAUAGUAAUAGUAAUAUAAUUCAAUUAAUAUUUUGUAGGAUACUCAAAAGCUUUAUAUGCACGUAACAAAAUAAAAAGACUUACGAAGACUUAAAAUUAAUGUAAUAUCUAUUCAAUUUACAUAAAUAAGUAUGAUUGUGUGAAAAAGGAGAUAAAUGAAAAAGGUAAAGAAGGUGAACAAUAAUAAAUUUGAAGGAUAUGGGAAAUAUUUGGUUAAAUUAAUAAAGAUAAAAUUGAUUCAUAAAAUUUAAGUUUUUUUUUUUAUAUUUUUUUAAAUUAGUGGGUCAAAACCCACUUUUUCUCAAAAAAUAAUAGAUCAAAACUAUAAUUAUCAAUUAUAACUUUAUUGUUUAAUUUAUAUUCUUUAACAAAUUUUUAAAAUUUUUAAGAAUAAUUUGUAAUUCAAAAAAUUGGUCCAUUUAAUUACAAAUUAAAUCAAAAUUUCCAUAAUAUGUUGUUGUCGUCGCAUGUAAUAAAAAGCUCGGAUUAUUUUAUAUGUUAUAAAAGUUAAAAUUUAUUUAUUUUUAAAUUAAAUUUAUAUAAAAUAUUAUUAAUUAUUAUUAUUUUUGAGCAAUUAUUAUUCCUUUUUAACAAAAAAUAUAUAUUUUUACAAAAAUAUUAAUAUCCAUAUUUUUAAAAUAUAUAUUAAAAUAGUAUAUGUUUUUAUGAAAAAUAUAAUUUUAUGACUUUAUUGUAAUAUUAUUAUUCAUAUUUUACUAAACACUAUUUAUGUUAAUUUAUUUGUUAUAACAAAAACUAUUUUCAUCUUUAAUAAAACUUAAAUUAAAUCUAAUUAAUAUGGUAUAAAUUGAAUUUAUAACAUUUUUACAAAAUCAAAAUAGAAAAAAAAAAUUAAAACCAAUUUAUUCAAAUAAACCUUUUUUCUUUUUUCUAAAUAUUUUUAAAAACAAUUUAUCUAACACUUAUUUUUAUAAAAUUUUAAAAAAACAAACAUGAAAAGAACAUGGUCACAACAAACCUAAAAUAAUGACGAGUCUGAACCGCUCUUUAAGUCUUUGUUUUUAUUUCACUCAGACGGAGCCCUCUCCAUUUGCCAGCCAGCCUGACAAGUCUGAACCGCUCUUUAAGUCUUUGUUUUUCCUCUUUCAUUAAUGACAAAAAUAACUCUCAUAUCAGGCGUUUUAAUCUAUUACUGCCACAAGCAUCAGACAAGGUAUUAUUAGAGGCUUCUCUUUGAUACACCUCAACAACCAUCCAUGUAAGAUAUGUAUAUUAAACACUAUGAUUCAAUACAUUAUUAUAUACAAACCAGAUGAACCCAGUUACCCACAACCUAGCUUAUUAUAAUUUUUUUUAUUUGAAUUAAAUUAAAAGAUUUCAUAAUAAUACUUUUUUUUUUUUUUUUGAAAUAAUAGGUGCUGUGCAAUUUGUUUUACUUUAUUGCUAGGUUAUGAAUUAUUAUUAUUAGUAGUAAUAGUAAUAUAAUUCAAUUAACAUUUUGUAGGAUACUCAAAAGGUUUAUAUGCGACAUAACGGAAUAAAAAGACUUACGAAGACUUAAAAUUAAUGUAAUAUCUAUUCAAUUUAUAUAGAUAAGUAUGAUUGUGUGAAAAAAGAGAUAAAUGAAAAAGGUAAAGAAGGUGAAAAAUAAUAAAUUUGAAGGAUAUGGGAAAUAUUUGGUUAAAUUUCAAACUAAUGGUAAAUAAGUAUUUUUAACCUCUAUACAGGGGGAAGUGAGUAAAAUUAUUGAAUGUAGCCAAAAAUAUAAAUAAGGUACUAGAGGCUUCUAAAUAAACGUGGAUAUGAGAAAAGGUAUAUUUAUAAAAAUUAAAUAAAAUUGUUGAAGAAACUAUUAAACUAUAAUCUAAUGCUUUACAAUCUUGUAUAAUGAGAUUAACCUAAAUUAUUAACGAAAUAUCUUAUUAUAUUUUUUAUUUAAAUUAAAUCAAAAAAAUUUGAUAAUAAUGAUUUCAUUUUUAUCUUAGGAGUAAUAGGUGUUCCUUGUGUUCUUUUGUGAUCUCUUGUGUCUAUAAUUAUAUUACUUUUUCUCACACACUCUCUUACUUGGUUAUUUGUUUGUCUUAUGUGUGCAUAUCAUAGGAUUGUUCAUUGGUGGAUGUUGUAUGGUAAUUGUAAUUUGUGCGAUUAAGGAUGAUGUUUAGUUUAGAUGAAUGUCCUUGACAAAUUUGUAAACUCCAUUUGAGAAUUUUAGGGGUUUAUGUAAUUUAUAUUUUGUCACAAGAUUGUCAAAAGGGGGAAAUUGUUAAUUAGUGCAUUAGGCUACUUAGUUUAAAUUAAAAAUUUUGUUCAAUCCAUCUUCACUUACAGACUUUUUUAGAUUAUUAUGUUUUACUAUUUAUUAAAAACUUAAGGUUAUUGCAUGAUCAAUUGGAAUAAUAUAAGUAUAGAGAUGUUCAAGAAAAGUUAAUUGGAAUCAAUUAUAGCAUGAAAUGAAUGUUAGGCUUUAAGCUAGUGAAAAAGGUUUUAAAAUUAAUUUGAAACUACUCAUGAGCCCGAGCUCAAGCAUCACUUUUAGUGUUCAAGCCAAAAUUCUAUAGGAUACUGAAUUUUUUUUUUUUGUCAUAUUUUUAGAGGUUUAUUGAAACAAAAAUUUAAAUUUCAUCUCUUGUUUAUUAUUUAAUACAAACUUUGAAAAUAAUUUAAGUAUUAGUUUUCCCACAUUCUAAACUCUUAAAAGUUCUCAUUCUUAGAUUUAUAAGAGAGAUUUGCAUCGCGAGAUGUACACUAAGGUCACAAUCAAGAUUUACAAACUAUUCGCGUUGCAUGAUUUGUUUUACUGUAAUGGUAGGUGAUGAAUUUAUUUUAGUUCACAUGUGAAAAUGAUGGGGCUAUAAAGAAAAAGAUACAAGUUAAAGUCCGACAAUUUUUUUUUAAUUGAGAUUCAUUUAUUUAUUUUUAAUUGAGAAAAAUAAAAUAUUAAUAUUAUUAGAAACUUUAUUUAUCAAUUUUUUUACUAUACAAUUUUCAUACAUCUAAUAUGUGAACUUUUUAAUAUCAUGGCAAAAGUGAAAAACAAAAAUAAAAUAUUUAAAAAAGAUUGAUCAAAUUACCAAACCAUCUUAUACUUAAAAAUAAGGCACUUAAAAAGACAAAUGACUCUUAGAAAGAGAAUUUGUAUUUUCAUCAAUUUAAGUUCUUUAUAUAUCUAUUUUAUUUGCACACUUACCUAAUUAUUUACAAUAUACUUCAAAUAAAUUUUAUUAUAUACCUUCUUUCACCUUCUUUCCUUGUUUUUUUUUUCUUUGGCAAAAAUAUUCUUCUCUCCAACUUUUUUGUUAUAAAAACAAAAUAAUAUUUGAGAUUAGUGUAAAGCUGAUUGUAAUAUUUUAAAUGUAUUUUUUAAUUGAAGUACUCAAUUAUAUUAGGUUUAUUUCAUAUAAAUAUAUUUUGAGUUUAUUAUUUAUAUAAUUUUUUUAUUAAUAUUUGUUAGAAAAAUAAUUAAUACUUAUUAAAGUUUUUUAAAGGCAACACUUACUAUUUUUUUUUUAAGAAAUACCGACCCUAAACUAAAAAGGGUAUAAUUGAAAUUCAUAAGGGAUCAAAAUUUCAAUUACAAAUUUGAUGACCGUUUUGAAUACUUGUCAACUAAUUUUAACUAUUUUGGAUAAUUUUUCCAUCGCCAAAUUGAAAGAAAGGCAAAUAAUUACAGAGAUUCGAAUGGAUCUCUAUUUGAAAUGCCCGCUUGCCCGCCCUUCAUUUAAGGACCUUUGGUUGGUUUUUCUAUGGGUGACGGGGGAAGAGAGAAACAAGAAACCAAAGGAGGAGGGUAGCUCAUUUUGGGUCUUGCCAGUUUUUGGAGAAGGAUAGCUUACUCGAAGCCGCUUCAAGCAAUACUACUUUGGCGGACCUUUUCAGGUAUGGCAGCUGUAAGCUUCUUUUUAUUUUUUAUUUUUUAUUUAUUUGCUCCAUUUUCUGCUGAUUUUCUGAUCGAUGUGGAAAUCAAGGCUUAAAUGAUUGUUUUGCUGAAUCUGAAUUUGUUUUCAUACUAAACUCUGUUUUGAUUUUAUACUGAUCCCUUUUAUUUUUCCUGUAAAUAACUACCGUAUGGAUUGUUCUUGAGUUGGAUACUUGAUAAUCAUGCCACUGCUCUAUGCUUAUCCCACUUACGUUCAAUCCCAUGGAUAACACAAUGAAAUGUAAGAUAUGGUAUAUUUAUCAAAAUCAACAAUGAGUGCCCCUAGCAUCAGACACGGUAUUAAUAGAGGCUUCUAUUUGAUAUACCUAUCCAUCCAUGUAAGAUAUGGUAUAUUUAUCAAAAUCAAAUAAAAUUCUGUGUGAAACUAUUAAACACUAUGAUUUAAUACAUUAUAGUUAUGUACAAGCCAGAUCAGCCCAGUCACCCACCACGUAGCUUAUCUUUUUUAAUUUGAAUUAAAUUAAACUACUAAAUGCAAUAUAUUUUGAGAUAUUUCUAAAAUCUGUUUGAGAGUAUUAGAGGUUUGUGUAAUAUAUUUAGUAACAAAACUUCCAAAUGAGGGUUAUUUAGUUUAAAUUGAUAAUUAUGUUCUGUUUAGGACUUUUUUAGAUUAUUAUACCUUACUUUUUAUUGAAGAUUUAAAGUUGUUGUAUAAUCAUGAAAUGGAUGUUAAGCUUUACGGAAAAUUGAUUUUAAACUAUGUAGGAGCCAACGUUCAAGCAGUACCCCCGAUGCUCAAACCAGAGUUUUAUAAAUUCUGAAAAUUUUCUUGUUCGACAUUUAUUGAGAGUGUUUUCUUUUUAAAAAAUUUUAGAUUUCAUUCUCUAGUUUUCACUCUUGAAUGCAAACUUUGAAAGAAAAAUCUAGGUAUUGGUUUUCCCACUUACCAAACUUUUAGAAGUUUGUUUUUUGAUUCCUAGGUUUGUGAGAGUGAUUUGUAUCCCCUUUGAUAUUGAGGUUGUCCAAUGGGUGCACAUGUGGUGAUAUGUGAUGAAAAAUUAGUAUAAGUAUCAAGAGAGUAAGAUUUAUGAAUAACUUUUAUCAUGUGAAUAUGUAUACCAGUUGUUUUAUAAUGAAUUUGUGUUUUGUGAUUUCUGGUAGUUUUUCCAUUUGAAUAUUCUUGUUGAUAACUGUAGGAUGAUUUUCAGGUAAACAUAAUUAUAUCUCCUGUUAUUGACCCUUUUUUACAUUCCUCAAUUAUUAGAGAGGAAUUAAAAACAAAUAUUUUGGGCUAAAGCGAAAUAAAUGCUCUAAAAAAUAUUAGUGUUGCACAAUUUAUUUUACUAUAAUGGUAGGUGAUUAAUUUGACAAAUAUAAUAUAGGAAAGCAAUGUCACAUCCCAUUCAAAUUUUGAAAAAGGCCUAAAGUAAAUUAUAGAAAUUACAUGCUGAAAUACAAGAUUUAUGGAUUGAAGUUUCUACAGAGAUAUGUGGGGUAGCACUCUGUCUAGAUAUCUCAUUCUCGUACUAACAAUGACUGUAGAGAUCGAGAUGGACCAUUUCGUGGUGCCGCAGGAAGUAGUUGCUGAUCAGGUUGUAAAUCCUGCGGAUGGCGGUAGGCAUAUUAGAACCUUGGCCAACUUAAAAUCCGAAAUUUGUCGAACACGAGACGACACUCCAUCAGAAAAAAAUGCAAAGCUAGAAUGUCCCAAGGUUCCAAAGUCGUUGUUGCCAUCAGAUGCCAUGGGUUCUGAGUCUGACGGCCACCGCAAUGAGCCAAAAAUCAUGUCUUUGGGUCCUUACCACCAUGGCAAUCCCAAGCUCGCGCGUGGAGAAAUAAUCAAGCUUAAUUUGGCAGAACAUGCCUUUUUAUUAUUUUCGAUGUCGGAAUCAAUCUCAAUAGAGGAGGUCGAUGAAUUGUACGGCGAAAUUAGCGGUCAAGUCCAAUCGCUGAGGAGCUGUUAUGAUGCGAAGUCGACGGAGAAUUAUUCGGAUGAAGAAUUCAGUGUGAUGAUGAUGGUGGACGGGUGUGCUUUACUGUAUUAUAUGUUUCAUGCUUGCUAUGGUGAUGAACAUGACCAAGAAAAUUCCGGUAUCAGAUAUCAGGAUCUAAGGCAUCUGCAGCGGGACGCGUUGCUGCUGGAGAACCAACUUCCCUAUAAAUUACUCCUGGAACUGGGCGAAAAGGUUCCAGGAUAUGACACUAGUGAGUGGAUGGCACUAUGCUUGGAAUUCGUUGGAGUGAUUGGGGAGGAGGAGGAGGAGGAGGCGUACUCAUUCCCGCAAAAAAUGAGGAAAUUUUGCUCCGGCCCGUUCGGCCAAAUUAUUGGCCGGAGUCUGAUGAAGAGUCGGUUAUAAACCUUAAGCCUCUUCAUCUCCUCGAUCUGUACUUAAAUAAUUGGCUAGGAGCCAAACGUCCUAGCCAAAAAAAAAGCGGCGGUGGGGAAUCAGUUAGAUAUGUGAAGGAGAAGGUUAUGGCAUCAUUUAGAAAUGUGAAGGAGCUUAUGGCCGCUGGAAUCCGCAUCAAGCCUAGCCCUACGCGUUACUUGAGGGACAUUUCUUUCACUUCAAAUGUCAUCACUGGAUGCCUCAGACUUCCUAUCAUCACUAUUGAUAACUCAACCAAGGAUUUGUUCUUUAACUUGAUAGCCUGGGAAAGGUGCUCAAGUCGUCGCCAUGACAGUCAUGACUUCAUCUCUUACCUUUGCUUCCUUGAUUCCCUCAUUGAUCAUGCUGAUGACGUUAAGGAGCUGCAGUCAGCCGGGGUACUCCAAAACAAUCUAGGCACGCAUGAACAAGUGGCUGAAUUUUUCAACACUCUGUCCGCCAAGUUUGAAUCAAACUUUCAUGCUUACAGAGAUGUGAGAGUCAAAAUUCGGAAGCACCUUAAAAGUCACCGUAACAGCAAACUGAAAAGGUGGAUGACACAAUGCCUGGACACCUACUUCGGUAGCCCCUGGACUAUCAAAGCUUGGGUUGGUGCUGCUUUGGUCCUUUUCUUUACUGCCGUCCAGACUUAUUUCACAGCCUUCUCUCAUUGAUGCAUUCAUGGCCUGCUUUCUCGCUAUCUAUUGAGUGCUUCUGCAUUUUACCUAGCCUAAAUUCAUGGACUCCAUAUAACCCUUUGAUGUGCAAAGUAAAUUAGGCAAAGAGUCAUUGGUCCCGUUUCUUUGCCAUUUCAGCCUAUUUUCUACCGUCCUUUCCGGGUUUAAAACAAGUAAAAAAAUAAAUGUAUGCUGUGAUCUUAUUUUGGUGUAUUUUGUGCUUAUGUACGCAUAAGUAAUAUUAUGUUUGAUUUAAGUAACUAAAAAUAGACAUGGGUGGACUGUUUUCUUUUUAUGUUUGGAUGCCUAUUAAUGGAUUAUAUUAGGUUGGCAAUUUUAUUUUAUUGAUGUUGUACUCCAUGUAACUUAUUUCCUCGGAUCUUAAUGGUUGGGAUCGGGCAAGUGUUUGAAGAAGUAAGAUAAAGAAAUGAAAACUUCAGAAAAGAAAAAAAAAAAAAGAACCGAAACAAAACAAUGUGAAAAAUGGAGAAAAACCAGACAGGAAUGCAGGAAAUUUUAAUAGAUGAAAGUCAUUUAUUCAUUUUUAAUUGAGAAAAAUAAAAUAUUAAUAUUUUUAUUAGAAAUUUAUUUAUCAAUUCUCUAUUAUAAAAUUUUCUUGGAUUUCAUGGAAAAUAUAUUAAAGAAAUUGACAUUAGCUGCCGGGAACUUAUCUAAAAUUCCUUUUUUUUUUGUGACAAAGAAGCUUCUGAGGAAAGGAUUUUUUUCAAAAGAAAAAUAAAGGAGGGAAGAAGGUAGGUGGUAUGGAAUAGAAGAAUGGAGAAUGGUAUGAAUGUAUUGAUACGAUUUUUAUCUUCUUGGUUGAUUGUGUAAAUAAGAUGGCUGCGUCACAGAAUUUCACGAGUAAGGGAGUAGUAUUUUUUGGAGAAGAAGAGUUUAGUAAUUUAAUUAUUUUUUAUUUAAAUAUUUUAUUUUCUUUCCAGUUUUAAAGAUGAUAUUGGAAAGUUUGACUCGGUAAUAUUAGGUUUAUAUUUGUUCAGAAUAUGUUUAGGGUUUACAACUCAUAAUUUUUGGCAAACAUUUGUCACAACAAUAAUUAGGAAACUUUUAAGAUGUAUUUAGAAGUGAAAAGUGUUUUAAAAAGUGGAAAAAUCUCCAAUAAAAGCAAGAUUGUGUUAUCUAGCUUGAUUUUUUUGUUCUUUGCUUUUCUCUGCUUUUGUUGCAGCUCUUCUGACCAAAAUACUAAUAGUUUCUAUUAAGCAAAAUAAUAAAACAGACACAAGAUGUAGAAUGACAGCACAUGAUAAGAAUCCAUUUUCAUUAAUAUUUAUAUAAAUAAAAAAUUAAUCAAAGAUUAAUAAUAUUUUAUUCUCCUAUUUUAGAAAAUAAUAUUUAUUUUAGAUAAAUCAAGAGCUAUUAAAAAUAUUUUAUUCUCUUAAUUUAGGAAAUGACAUUUGUUUCCUUAAUUUUAAGAUAUUUAUUCUUUCAUUCUUUCUAUAAUUCACAAUGUAUCGUUGUAUAAUUUUUUAAAAAGAAACAAUAAAAAAAUCGUUUUCAUUAGGAAGAAGCUCAAACUUGAGUCCUCUCCAAGAGUGGUCAAAUGCCAGAAAAGGAGUGGUUGAAUAAUAUAGUCAUGAUCAAAAUGGUUGAGAAGACGCAUAUUUCAAAUUGAGGGGUAGAGGCUUCACCCUUUCUAUGUGUUACAAUUCUUACAAAAAAAAUUCUUUUAUGUUUUUAUCGAAUCUCUAUCAAAAAAUGAUGUCUUCACCAUGUUUAAGAGUAAUCAAAUAUUAAUAAUAUUUUAUUUUCCUAAUUUAAGAAAUAAUAUUUAUUUUAAAUAAAUCAAGAGCAAUCAAAUAUUAAUAAUAUUGGGUUAAAUACACUUUACCUUCUCAACCAAUGGUAGUUCUUUUUUUCCCGCACUGUUUUGCUUCAUUUUUGUCUUUGAUAGCUAAGAAAAUUUCUAGACAAAGAAUAAAUAUUAAGUGAUGAGGUGUUUAUAUCGGUUAGGGUUUUCUUUUGAUAGUUGAAAAAAUUUUGGGAAAAAGUUUAAAUUUUAGGUGUUUAGGGUUAAGGUUUUCUUUCCAUAGUUGAGAAAUUUUAUGAAAAAAAACAGAUUUAGGUGUUUAGGUUUCCUUUUCAUAGGUGUUUAUUUAUAGUCAAUUUAGCUUUCUUAUGACAUUUUUUUUUUGUUUCUUUUCAUCAACAUUGCAUCUAUAUAUUUAUCUAAUAUGAAUUUUAUAUUAUAUGUUUGCAAAUAAACCACCUAACUAUUUUACCAUCAAUUAUGAAGGGCGAUUUAGGGGUGAUAUGAGACAUGUAUUUAAGAAUAGUGAUUAUUUGGGUGGAAAAGUGGAUUAUGUUGAUAAUUGUGACAAUAAUGUAAUGUUUUUGAUUGAGUUGGAUCAUAUAUUGUUUUUAUUAAGAUAUAAAUAUUGCAUUGAAUAUUUCUAUGCUAAUAAGAAAGUGAGAAAAUAAAAGCUAAACCUUAAUAGAAAAAACACCCAAGGGGGAGGGAGGUGAAUUGGGGUUUAAAUUUUUUGUUUUUAAGCACAAUGAAUUCAUGUAAAGGAAUCACAAAUAUAAAGAAAUAAGGAUAAAAAAAACUUAGAUUUUAUAGUGGUUCGGCACCCUUUACUUAUGUCAACUCUCCUCAAGUUCCUAAUCGAGUGAAGGUUCCAUUAUACUUGAAGCUUCAACCAAGCGUCCAACCUUUCAGACCUAGAUUUUGGCUCUAAUGAGUUAUUACACAAUUCGUUCAAAUUUCUACUCACUUGAAGCUUCUAACACUCAAAUAAGAAGUUUAAAUCUGUCAACUAAGCUCAAUAAGAGAUCAAAUACAACUAAAAUACUAGGAUAAAUAACAAUGGUGCACUAAAAGAAUAUGCAACCGAGGAUUUUAAUGCAUCAAGGAGAGAAUGAGAGCUUUUGAAUCAAGAACUGGUAAUUAAACAAAUAAAUGUAGGUGUUCUUAUCUUCGUUAAUGAAAGAAAGCUCCCAAUUUAUAGGUUUCUAGCCUUGGGAGCCAAAAUAUCAAAAAAUAGCCUCGACUGGUCAAGCUAUAGGUCGAGCGGUUGACUAGCCAUUGGGCAAUUAAUGCAUGACCGGUGACUAAUAGGCCUCAACUAGACCUUGAUCGGGCCAUGACUGGGAAGGCAUACCCCUCGAUUAGGAAUGCAACACUACUAGAAGAGAGAGAAGAUUUUUUACAUCUCUCGAUCGAUCCUCGACCGGGAAGACAUAAACGGUCGAUCGGUACUUUAACCGAUUGAUCAGUGCCUUGACCAGUUUACCUUUUUUGGCCUAAAAAUCUGUCAUUUUUUUUUGUUGUUUUUGCUUUUAACACCUAGGUAAGGUCUCUAGUCACCGAGUAUGUCAAUUUUCAAACAAUUUGCUUAAGGUUCAUUUGAUAAAACUCGGAUUUUAAUCAAAUGUGUCUUUAAUGCACUUAGGAUAUGGAAAUCCUAAGUGUACCCAUGUAUUCAACUUACAAACGGUUCCUAAGAUUAAAAUAUCUUCUUUGUGCCUUGAUCUUGAAUCUAUUGGAUCCUUUGAUGAAUUUCUCGGAUCUUGAUCUUGAAUCUUGAAUCUAAAUAGACAGGACUAAGGUGGUGUUUGUUUUUUUUACUUAAUUCUAAAUAGAACCUUAAUACUUAAUAGCAUUAAAUAUUAGGUUAUUUGUUUUUAUAGUAUUUUAUUUCUAUUAAGUAUUAAAAAGUAAAAAAAAAAAACCAAUAUGUUAUUUUUUUUAUUUAGAAAAAGUUACAUAUUUUGGCUUUUUUUAUUUAGUAAAAAGUUUAUAAUAAGUCAUGAAAAAAUAAAAAAACAAACAACCUAAAUUCUAAAACUAAAUUGCUUUCAGCAAAAAGCCAAAAAAACAAACACCACUUAAGCCUCUUUGUUGUCAUUUUUUUCAACCUUGGUGCCAAUCAUAUGUCCGGUAUUAAUUUACUCAUGAUGUGAUCUUGAUUCAUUGAUUACGAUAUAGUUUAUUUGUGGUAGAAUUUUGGGAAAAUUAAUAUAAAAAAUAUCUAAGAAAUGAAUUUGAUGAUCAAAUAAUCCAAGAAAAAAAGCAUCAAAUUUAUGAUAUGUAUAAUGAAAGAUGCAUUUAAGUAAAUUAAUAAGCUCGAACCCUUCCCAAAACCAAGGAGACACGCAUUAGCCUAUUUUAUGUGCUUCACUUGCUGUAUAUUAGUAGGUGUAUGAAUAGAUUAAUCUUUCUGAAGAGAAAAAAGAAGAAGAAGAAGACUUGAGUGCUCCUUUUUAAAUGUUAAAUGACCUUCCCUUUGGAUAUCAUUAUAUCAACAUGGACUAGCUGGCAGCAGCCUGUUGCCUACUCGAUUGGAAUUAUGGAGCUUGCAUGCAAUGAGCUGGUGAUUCAUAUUUCACAGGUGGGAUGUAACUUUUUUCUUUUUUUAAUAAAUGAUAAGAAUAUCUCACAUAUAAAAUAAAAAGAGAAAAUUAACCUAUACGUGGAAACUAUUCUCAAUAAUAAUUUUUUGUUUUUUAAACAUAAAAAAAUAUGAAAACUCAGUUGCCUGUAAUUAUUUCCAAAAUAGGUUGUAAUAAUACCUUUUAAUUAUUUUUGGUUAAUUUUAUUUAUUAUUUGGAGCUAUUUUUAAAUGUAAUUUUAGAAAUAUGAAAAAUGAUUGAAAUUUAUAAAAGGGUACAUAAAAGAAUAUUUUGAAAACAUACAAUAUUCAAAAUUACCAAAGAAGCUUUUAUUAUACCAUAGUAAAAUUAUUUUUGAUAAUUAAUCUCAAAAACCAUCUUUUUAUAACUAUUUUGAAAAGUAUUCUCUAACAAACCUUAUGCUUUUAGGGAGGAAUGGUAAUAUUUUAAUAAAAAUUAUAAAAUAUGAAUAUUAAUAUUUUAGUAAAGUUAUAAAUUAUAUUUUUUUUUGUUAAAAACAAAUAAAUUUUUUUAGAAAAUGAUAAUAGUUAAUAAUAUCUUAUUUAAACUGAAUUAUGAAAAUAAGUAUAAUUUAUUUUUCAAAAUAUGCAAUAAAUGAAUCAAGUUUUGAUCACGUACACAUAUUCAUUCCCUAAUUACAAGUAUUCUGAACCAGUUUAGUCCCACAAAAAUUUUAUAAUAAUUAGCAUAAUUUUUUAGUUUUAAUUUAUUUUUAAAAUAAAAGCAUGGAACUAGAUUGAAUCUUUCUUGGGAAUCCCCAGCAAUGCUGGAGGUUGUGGAGUGGCGGGAAAUCAGGGUCAAUUUCAAUCAAACGUGUAUCUCUUUGUAUGCUUAAAAUAAAAAAAAAAAUCUCGAUAAAUCAUCUCUUUCAAUUACAAAUAACUGUUAUUGAAUUAUUAUUAUUAUUAUUAUUCGUAAUAUAAUUCAAUUAACUAUUUGCUGGACACCUACAGUGUUACACCCGACUAAGGGGAAAAGAAAAAGAUCAUACAAGUUAAAGUUAAUUAAUUUGACAAAAAAAAAAAAAAAUCAAAUUUGUUUCAUCAUCUCAAGAUGUCAAGGGUGAAGACUACUACUAUGCGCCAAAACUCAUUUCUUUGGGUCCUUACCACCAUGGCAAGCCCACCUCAAGGAUGGAGAAACGCUCAAGCUUAAAUUGGCAGAAGCCUACAUCCAAGAAUGUGUGCCAAGAGUGGAUGAAAUUUACCACACAAUUAGCGAAAGCAUUAGUGAGCUGAGGGGCUGUUAUAAUGCGGAGUCCACAAAGAAAUAUAAGGAUGACGAAUUAACCAUCAUGAUGCUGGUGGACGGGUGUGCUUUACUCUGUUACAUUUUAUGCGUUUGCUUAGGUUAUGGCCAUGAAGAUUUCAAUAUCAGAUAUCAGAAAAUGAAAAUUUGGAAGGUCCUUCGUCAUCGGAAACUGAAAUUGGCCGGAGGCUGGGUAGAGCAUCAGUUAGAGAUGUGAAGGAGGUUAUGGCAUCAUUUAGAAAUGUGAAGGAGCUGAUGGACGCUGGAAUCCGCAUCAAGCGCAAUCCUACACGUCACUUGAGGGACAUUUCUUUCCGUUCAAAUGGGAUCACCGCAUGCCUGAGAAUUCCUCCCAUCACCAUUGAUAACUCAACCAAGGCUAUGUUCUUGAACUUGAUAGCCUAUGAAAUGAGCUCAGACGUCGACCAUGACUUCAUCUCUUACCUUCGCUUCCUUGAUUCCCUCAUUGAUCAUGCUGAUGACGUUAAGGAGCUGCAGUCCAUCGGGAUACCAAAACAAUCUAGGAACCCACGAAGAAGUGGCUCAAUUCUUCAACACCGUGUCCGCCAACUUGGAAUCCAACUUUCAUGCUUACAAAGACGUGAGAGUGAAAAUUCGGAAGCACCUUCAGAGUCACUAUAACAGCAAACUGACGAUGUGGAUGACACAAUGCCUGGACACCUAUUUCGGUAGCCCCUGGACAAUCAUAGCUUGGGUUGGUGCAGCUUUGGCCCUAUUCCUUACUUUCGUCCAGACUUACUUCUCAGUCUUCCCUCAUUGAUGCAUGCCUGUCCUGUUUUCAACUAUCACCAUCUCAAUUAAGGUAGUAUCCACUCCAAAUUUCCUUGUUUUUCUCGCUAUCUGCAUUUUACCUAGUCCAUGUAAAUUAAGCAAAGACUCAUUGGCUUCAUGCGCUUUUGACCUUACCUCUUUUGUGUUUUUGGUUUCAGCCUAUUUUCUACAUUGCUUUCCGUGCUUAAAUUAAGUAAAGAAUGACUAUGUAGUGUGACCUUAGUUUGGUGUAUUAUGUGCUAUCGCAAGCAUGUGCUAUGCUUGUAUAUGCAUCAUCAGCAGUAUUAUGUUUGAUUUAAGUACGUAAAUAAAGAUAGAUAUAGGUGGAAUAUUUUUUUUCUAUGUUUAUAUUCCUGUUAAUGUAUUAUAUAUAUAUGUUAGGUCGGCAAUUUUUUUUAUCUCAUACCAUUUUUAAUUAAAUCAUUCUUAAACUAUAGUUACUAAGCCAAAAAUUAUAAUGCUCUAGAAAUAUAAUCAAUCUCAUUGUCGAAUUUUUCUAAAAUAAUCUCAGAAUAAGCCCAAUAUCUCUAAUAAUAUGUUAUUUAAGGCACAUAAUAUUCCAAAAAGAAAAUUCUGCAAAAGAAAAAGAAAUUUGUUGAGAAGUGGUUUAUUUUAGUUAAUAUGAACAAAACAACAUUUUGUCCGAUGGAAAUUUGACUAAUGCUUGUAAGUACCGAUUUGUAAAUAUUUGUGGGGGGAGUUUCUUUUGACAACCGAUGGAGCAAUUCAGGUCAUGCAACACUUAUUUGACAACAUUCUAAAAUAAUGUUGUUAAAAAUAUUUAAGAAUGGUUCUGAAAAUAUAUUUUACUUGUUCUUAGGAAUAAAAUUCAACUUAUUUGACAAUAUUCUUAAGAAUAUGCUUUAUCUGUUUUUACUUUUUAGGAAUAAAAUUCCAUUUAAGAAUUAAAAUAUGAAAUACGGCUUUUCAGCCUUGUCCUUCACAAAGGCAUGCGCAGUGGACCUAUAAUGCAAGUUCUUUUUUGUUCUUUUUUAAAACACUUGCAUAAUUUUCUUAAAGAUUAUUUUCAAAAAAUUUUAAAUUUGAUGUAAUAAUUCAUAAAAUUUUCCUUGCAUGUAAUGAAAAACUCGGAUUAUUUGUAUGUUAUAAAAGUUAAAAUUUAUUUAUUUUUAAAUUAAUUUUAUAUCAAAUAUUAUUAAUUAUUAUUAUUUUAAAAAAAUUAUUUUUUUUAAAAUAAAUAAAUUAUACUUUUAUAAAAAUAUUAAUAUCCAUAUUUUUAUAAUAUAUAUUAAAAUAUUUUUUUUAUGAAAAAUAUAAUUUUAUGACUUUGUUAUAAUAUUACUAUUCAUAUUUUACUAGACAUUAUUUUGUUUUAUUUAUUUGUGAUAACAAAAAAUAUUUUCAUUUUUAAUCAAACUUAAAUUAAAUCUAAUUAAUAUGGUAUAAAUUGAAUUUAUAAUAUUUUUACAAAAUAAAAAUGGAAAAAAAAAAUAAAACCAAUUUAUUCAAAUAAACUUUUUUUUUCUAAUUAUUUUUAAAAACAAUUUAUCUAACACUCUUAUUUUUAUAAAAUGUUAAAAAUAUAUAUAUAUAUUUAAAAAAAAAAAAAAAAAAAAACAUGUUCACACAAAAUGUGCUAUUUUUUACCAUUCAGGUGUUAUCCCUUACUGAUGUAGAUAAAAGAUACGCAUAAAAUUAAAAAUGAUUUUUGGACUGUUGCUAUUUUGAUGGGUUUUUUUUUUUUCAAAUGAAACAUGCUUUUUCCCUUUUUGCCCCCUCUCUGAUUGAGGGUUUGUUUUAUUUCACUCUCAUGGAGAGCCCUCUCCAUCUGCCAGCCAACCUGACAAGUCUGAACUGCUCUUUAAGUCUUUCAUUAAUGACACAACUAACUCUCACAGCAGGCGUUGUAAUUGAUAGAAUCAAGGACAGGACAUGGAGUAAUUUGUUUUACUCCAUUUGCCAACUAAUCUGACAAGUUUGAAACACUCUUUAAUGCUUUGUUUUUCGUCUUUCAAUCAUGACACACCCAACUCUCCAUCAGGCGUUGCAAUUGAUACAAUCAAAGAUGGGACAGGUAUUCAUAGAGGCUUCUUUUUUUCUACACCUCUAUAACCACCCAUUUAAGAUAACGUAUAUUUAUCAAAAUCAAACAUUUACUACAUAAUUGUUUGCGAAACCAUUGAACACUACGAUUUAUUACAUUAUAAAUAUAAACAAGCCAGAUGAACCCAGUCACUCACAACGUAGCCUAUCAUAAUUUCUAUUUUUUUUUUCAUUUGAAUUAAAUUAAAAUUUUCAUAAUAUAAUACUUUAAUUUUUAUUUUGAAAUAAUAGGUGUUGCAUAAUUUGUUUUACUUUACUGGUAGGUUAUGAAUUAUUAUUAUUAUUAAUAUAAUUCAAGUAACAUUUUGUUGGAAACUCAAAGCUUUAUAUGUGACCAGGUAGGAAAAAAAAACACCUAUGAAGACCUAAAAUUAAUGUAAUACCAAUUCAAAUUAUAUAGACAAGUGAGAGGUAAGUGAAAACAAUAAAUAAGAAGAAUAAAAAAGGUGAAAAAUAACAAAUAAAAAAAAUAAGAGAGAGAGUUGAUUAAAUUUUAAAUUAAUAGUGGUUAAGUAUAGUUAACCUAUAUAUUAAGGGAUGUGAGUAAAAUUAAUUUUUUAAAAGUAUUGAAUGUAACCAAAAACAUAAAUAAGGUACUAGAAGUUUUGAAUAAACGUGGAUGUGAGAAAUGGUAUAUUCAUCAAAAUCAAAUAAAAUUGUUGAGAAAACUAUUAAACUAUGAUAUAUAUAUAAUGUAUUAGAAUCUUAUAAAAAUUAUAAGGACCUAUUUAUUAACAAAGUAUCUUACCAUAAAUUUUUAUUUAAAUUAAAUCAAAAGAUUUGACAAUAAUGACUUGCUAUUUGUUGGGCCUAUGUGUGCAGAUCACAGGAUUAUUCGUCAUUGGAUGUUGUUUGGUCACUGCAGUUUACACAUUUGAGGAUGUUUGGUUUAGACAAGUGUCACUGACAGAUUUGUAAACUUAUUUUUUAAAGUAUUUAGGGUUUAUUUAAUCUAUAUUUUGCACAAAAUUGGCAAAGAGAAGAGAUUGUUAAUUAGUGCAUUAGACUACUUGUUUAGAUUUACAAUUUUAUUCAAUUCAUUCUAACUUAAAACUUUUCUAGGCUACUAUGUUUUAUUCUUUAUUGAAGAUUUAAAAUUACUACGUGAUCAAUCGAGAUAAUACAGGCAAGUGUAAAGAUGUACAAGAAAUGUUAAUUGAGAUUGGUUAUAGUGUGGAAUGGAUAGGCUUUUGAUUUUAAAAUUAUGAAAAAGGUGAGUGUUUUUCGAUCCCAAUGCUCAAGCACUCCUUAGACUACUUAAAUGCUUAAGCCAAAAUUAUGUGAAAUUCUAAAAUAUUGUUUUUUUCAUAUUUUGAAUAAUGUUUUUUUUUUUGGGGGGAAAUUUUAGAUGUCAUCCCCCUCUUUUUUUUUCUCUUUAAUGCAAACUUUGAAAAAAAAAAUUAGUCCGAGUAUUAGUUUUUCCACAUUCUAAACUAUUAGAAGUUUGUUUUCUCAUUCAUGGGUUUGUGAGAGACAUCUACAUCCAUUUUAGGCAUUGAAGUGGUCCUCUGAGUGCAUGUGUGGUGCUGCGUUAUAAACGUGAAAACUAAUAUAUGUAUUAAGGAGUAAGACUUAGGAAUAACAUCGAAAAUCUAUAUACCUUUUGUUUUAAUAGUGGAUUUGUACUUUGCAUAUUUUGACCUUGUGAUUUUUACACCUGCAUAAUCUUUAAAAGACUGGGAGUCAUUUCCAAGUAAAUGUUGUUAUAUCUCCAACAUAAUCUUUGAAAGACUGUAGGAGUAGUUUCCACGUAAAUGUUCUUAUAUCUUCUAUAAUUGAUUUUUCUUUACAUUUCAUAAAUAUUAAAAAGGAAAUAAAAAUAAAUAUUUUAGGAUAAAAAGAAGUAAAUACCUGUUGACUUCCUUUAGUUUCAUAACCAAGAUCUACAAACCAUGAGUGUUGCAUGUGAAAAGAAAUAUUUAUUUAUUUUGGGCUAAAAUAAAUAUUUUUCUUUCAAUUUAUUUUACUGUAAUGGUAGGUGGUGAAUUUAUUUUAGUUCACAUGUGAAAAGAAUGGGCCCUCAUCUGCCAUUUUGGACAAGUUGGUUCACUGAUGUGAUGGUAAGGUCAAUUUGUAGUGGAAAGAUUAGCUUAAUUUUGAGUACUCAUUAAAAGGUGGAGAUAAUCUUGUUCUAGACAAAAAUUAUUCAAUCAGUCCAAGAUUUUUUUAAUCUUUAUAAAAAUAAAUAAAAUCUAGAUAUGGAAUCAGUCACGCGGAUGCUAUAAAAUCUGAAAAUAUACCAAAUCAAUGUCACAUCCCAUUCAAAUUUUGAAAAAGAUAUAAGAUGAAUUAAUAAAAUUAUAUGAAAGAAUGUAAAAUACAUGUUGAAAAGUGAAAACGAAUAAUUACAUUGAAUCAAAGAUAAAAAUUGAAAACUGAUGCGUAGAAAGAAAAUGACCUGAUGACUUGGGGAAAGAAAAGGGAUUCAAGUCAACUUUUGACACAAAAAAAAGAAAAAAAAAAAGAAAGUAUAGAGAUAUCUAGUAGUACUAUCUCCAGCUAUCUCAUUCUCAUACUAACAAUGGCUGGGAAGGAGGUGGUGGUUUCAGUGGAGGAGCAGCAGGAAGUAGCUACUAAACAGUCUGAAAAAUCUGCGGAUGGCAGUGAUCAUUCGAGAACCUUGGCUGACUUAAAAUCCAAAUUUCGCCGAUCUCCAUCAUCACCGUCAAGUCCAAAGCUACAAUGUCCCAAGGUUCCAAAGAAGUUGCGAUCAGCUGUCAAGGAGGAAGACUACUAUGCCCCAAAACUCAUUUCUUUGGGUCCUUACUACCAUGGCGAAUCCCACCUCGCGAAUGGAGAAACGCUCAAGCUUAAAUUGGCAGAAGCCUACAUCCUAGAAAUUACUGUGUCACAAGGGAACUCAGUCGAGCAGUCAGUCGAUAACAUUUACCACAUGAUCAGAGAUCGCAUUGAUGAGCUGAAAGGUUGUUAUGACUAUCAGGAGUCCAGAAAGAACUAUAAGGAAGACGAAUUCACUGCGAUGAUGCUGGUGGACGGGUGUGCUUUACUGUGGUACAUUUUAUGUGUUUGCUUAGGUGGUGACCAUGAAGAUUACGAUAUCAGAUAUCAGGAUCUAAGCCUUCUUCACCAGGAUGCGUUGCUGCUGGAGAACCAACUUCCCUAUCAAUUACUACAGGAGCUGAUGAAGAUGGCGGUCCCAGAAUCGGCCAAUAAAGCUUGGACAGUACUAUUCCAGGAAUUCUUUGGCAUGAUCGACGAGUCAUUCUUCCAAGAAUUCUUUGGUAUAAAGGAGAAGGAGUACUCAUUCCUGCCAAAAAUGAAGAAUUAUUGCUGCCGCAUGUUCCUGGCAAUCAUCCAAAUUAUUAACAGGAAACCAAAGCUGAAACCUGGUGAAGAGUCGGAGCCGAAACCUGAUGUAGAGUCGAAGAUGAAACCUGAUGUAGAUUCGAAGAUGAAACCUGAUGAAGAGUCGAAGCCGAAACCUGAUAAAGAGUCGAGGCUUUGUCAUCAUCUCCUCGAUCUCUACCGAAGAAAUUUCCUAGGCGAUGAACGUUCUAGCGCAACGCAUUCGGAGGCUGAAAAUGGCAAGAAGGGUCCGGGAUCAGUUGGAGAUGUGAAGGAGCAGGUUAUGGCAUCAUUUAGAAAUGUGAAGGAGCUUAUGGCCGCUGGAAUCCGCAUCAAGCGCAGUCCUACACGUCACUUGAGGGACAUUUCUUUCCGUUCAAAUGGGAUCACCGCAUGCCUGAGAAUUCCUCCCAUCACCAUUGAUAACUCAACCAAGGCUAUGUUCUUGAACUUGAUAGCCUAUGAAAUGAGCUCAGACGUCGACCAUGACUUCAUCUCUUACCUUCGCUUCCUUGAUUCCCUCAUUGAUCAUGCUGAUGACGUUAAGGAGCUGCAGUCCAUCGGGAUACUCCAAAACAAUCUAGGAACCCACGAAGAAGUGGCUCAAUUCUUCAACACGGUGUCCGCCAACUUGGAAUCCAACUUUCAUGCUUACAAAGAUGUGAGAGUGAGAAUUCGGAAGCACCUUAAAAAUCACUACAACAGCAAACUGAAAAUGUGGAUGACACAAUGCCUGGAUACCUACUUCGGUAGCCCCUGGACUAUCAUUGCUUGGGUUGGUGCUGCUUUGGCCCUUUUCUUUACUGCCGUCCAGACUUACUUCUCAGUCUUCCCUCAUUGAUGCAUGCAUGCCCUGUUUUCUCGCUAUCUAUUGAGUGCUUCUGCAUUUUACCUAGCCCAAAUUCAUGGACUCCAUAUAACUCUUUGAUGGUUGCAAAGUAAAUUAGGCAAAGAGUCAUUGGUCUCGUUUCUUUUCCAUUUCAGCCUAUUUUCUACCUUCCUUUCCGUGUGUAAAAAAGUAAAGAAGGAAUGUGUGGUGUGAUCUUAUUUUGGUGUAUUUUGUGCUUAUGUAUGCAUCAGUAAUAUUAUGUUUGAUUUAAGUAACUAAAAAUUGAUAUGGGUGUGGACUAUUUUUUCUAUGUUUGGAUCCCUAUUAAUGUAUUAUAUUAGGUUGGGAAUUUUAUUUCAUUGAUGUUUUAGUCCGAUACAACUUAUUUCCUCAGAUCUUAAUGGUUGUGAUCGAAUUAAAAUUAUUCAUCAGUUCGGUAUGAGGUAAGUGUUUGAAGAAGUAAGAUAGAGUAAUGAAAACUUGUAAAAAAAACACAACACAAAACAAAGUGAAGAGUGGAGAACAACCUCACUGGAAUGUAGAUAAUUUAAUAGAUGUAAGUCAUUUAUUCAUUUUUAAUUGAGAAAAAAUAAAAUAUUAAUACUAUUGUUAGAAAUUUAUUUAUCAUAAAGUUUUCUUGGAUUUCGUACAAAAUAUAUCAAAGAAAUUGAUAUUAGUUUCCAUGAACUUAUCUCAAGUACCAUUUUUUGUCGCAAAGAAGCUUCCGAGAAGAGGAUUUUUUUGAACAAAAAUAAAGGAGGGGAGAAGGUAGAAGGUGUGGAAUAGAAGAAUGGGGAAUGGUAUUUAAGUUAUAUUGGAGAUAAUUAAUGGAUGGAUGUAUUGAUAUGAUUUUUAUCUUCUUAGAUGAUUGCGUAAAUAGGAUGAAUGCGUGGAAAAUUUAUUCGGUGGAAGCAAAUAUAAAUUCUCUUUUUAAUCUCAAACAAGAGAGUAGUAUUUUUUGGUGAAGAAGGGUUUAGUAAUUUAAUCAAUUUUUUUUAUAAAAAAAAUUUUAUUUUUGUUUUCAAUUUUAAAAAUGAUUUUGGAAAGUUUGAUUGUGAUGUCCUACAUCGAAUAAGAAAAAAAGUUUAUGACGAAGUAUGAACUCUUUUUAACUUUGUAAAUAUGUUUUAAAGUUAUAAUGACCCUUUUUGACUUAAAGUAGACAAUAAUUACAUGAUUAAGUAUGAGUUGUUAUAAAAGACACAUGAGAGUCAUUUUGUUUGUUUGGUCUCACAAUUUUAUAGGAUACAACAAGGACGUUGUGUUUACAUAAGGGGUGAUUGUGAUGUCCUAUAUUGAGGGGUGAUUGUGAUGUCCUAUAUUGGAUAAAAGAGAAAGUUUCUGACAGUACAUAUAUGUAAGUUCCUUUGAACCUUAUAAAUGUGUUUUAAAGUCGUGAAAACCUUAUUGGGAUCGAGCAAACAAUAUGUAUAUGGUUGAGUGUGAGUCAUUACAAAUGAUACUAGAACUAAUCUUUUACCCUUGUGUGGGAUUUUGUUUGGCCCUAUGAAGGGUGUCUACUUGUUUAGCCUCGCAAUUCCAUGUAACACAAUAAAAAAGUUGUGUUUGCAUGGGGAAGGGAGACAGUGUUUGUGAUGUCCCACAGUGGAUAGAGAAAAAAAUUUCUAGCACUAUAUAAAUAUAAAUUCCUCUUAAUCUUAUAAAUGCAUUUUAAAGUUGUGAAAGCCCCUUUGAAUCUAGAGUCGACAAUAUCUACAUGGUUAGAUGCAGGUCAUUAUAAAAAACACAUUAUAAGUCCGUACGGACUCCUUUAGAUUCAGAAUAGACAAUUUCUACACAAUUGAGUGUUAAUCAUUACAUUGACUUAAUAAUAUUAGGUUUAUUUUGAAUAUAUUUAGGGCUUAUAACUUUUGGAAAAUAUUUGUUAUAAAAAUAAUUAGGAAACUUUUAAGAUGAAUUUAGAAGUGAAAAGUGUUUGCAAAAAGUGGAAAAAUCUCGGAUAAAACAAUGUCAUGUUAUCUACUACGAUUUUUUUUCUUUGCUUUUGUUGAAACUCUUUUUUGCUUCCAACCUUUUACAAGGACCAAAUACUAGUAGUUUCUAUUAAGCAAAACAACAAAACAGGACAUAGGGCACAGAAUGGCAAAAUAUAGAAUGAUAGAAAUCUAUUUUCAUUAAUAUUUCCAUAAAUAAAAAAUAAUAAGAUAUUAAUAAUAUUUUAUUCUCCUCAUUUAGAAAAUAAUAUUUAUUUUAAAUCAAUCAAGACCAAUCAAGAAUAUUUUAUUCUCUUAAUUUAGAAAAUAAUAUUUAUUUUCUUAAUUUUAGAAUAUUUAUUAUUUCUAUCUUUCUAUAAUCCACAAUGCAUCAUUGUAUAAAUUUCUGAAAAGAGAAAAUAAGAAAAUCAUUUUCAUUGUCUAAUUUUCAAACUUUUCAUGGUAUUAAAGUUAGGAUAGGAGGCUCGAAUUUGAGUUUUUUUUCAAAAAGUGGUCAAAUGUCAUAAAAGACUUAACCUACCCUCACAAACCAUAUCUUCAUUUUCAAAAAUAAAAAUUGCCUAGUGUUUUAGUCUUCCAUCAAUAUUCUUUCUAGUUUGAUUUCAAUCAAGUUAAACACCACAAAUUUUCUAUUGUGGUGAAAUCAAAUCAUCCUCUUAAUUCAUGGCUUCAAUGUUCUAGCUUUUCAUCAAUGUUUUACACUUUCAUUAGUGUUAUUUCUAGCUUAUUUUAAUCAAGCUAAACACCAUAAAUUUCCUAUUAUGGUCAUCCUUUUAGUUUGUGGCAUCGGUGUUCUCCAACAUCUCUUAGGUGAAAAAAACCUAUUGAAAAAAGUUAAAGAUGAUAAAGGAAGCAAAAGUUCUAUCUUGUAAUACCAAUUAUUGAUCGACAAUGACAAAUUUAUCACUUCACGAAUUCUUGGAAUCAUGAAAGAACAUAUUUUAAGCAUGAUCUUUGGUGUUGACAUGGUAUAUGAGGUAUGAACUUUUCUUAAAGAGCAAUUGCUUUAUGUUAUAGUUGAAAAAAAAAAUCUACUGAAAAACUUUUAAAAGACUUCAAAUAUAUAUAUAUGACAAUCUUGUUGUAAUCAAAAGCCAAUUUUAGACCAUGUAAACGUCCGUCGAUUUGUUCAUGGUUCAAGAUAAAGGUAUGAAUUUUUUUUUCACCUAUAUGCUUUUCUAGCCAAUUUAUAGUAGCUCUUCAAGAACAUAAAGAAUCACUCACAACCAAAAAAGAGGAGAGAAAAUGUUCUUAGAGCAUGAACAAUUUUUAUUUAGAUGAUAGGGUCAUGAUCAAAAUGGUUGAGAGGGCUCCACUCUUUCUAUGUGUUACGAUUCUUAUAUAUAUAUAUAUGCAUGUUUUUAUCAAGUCCUUGUCAAAGGAUGUCUUCACUAUGUUUCAAGACAAGUUGGGGAUCCAUAUUCAUUCUCACUCCAUCUUGAGGGGCAUGAUUAAGGAAAUAAAAUAAAAUAGGACAAAUGACGAAGAAUGGCGUGGAAUGAUAAGUUAAUCCAUCUUAGUUAUUAUUUCCAUAAAUUAAGAAUAACCAAAUAUUAAUGAUAUUUGAUUUUCCUAAUUUAAGAAAUAAUAUUUAUUUUAAAUAAAUUAAGAGCAAUCAAAUAUUAAUGAUGUUGGGUUAAACACACUUUACCUUCUCAACUUUUUCGUGGGUUUUACAUUUUGUGCCCUCAUAUUCAAAAUUCAACAAUUUUCCCUCCAAACUUCUUAAAAAUUAGCAUUACACAUUUUUGUUGGAUGACGUUACAUCUAUUAAACAAAAAAUGACGCGCUUUACACAUGACUUAAUAAGUAAAGAUGAAAUUGUCAUUUGAAACACUCAAAACCUUAAAUCCUUUUCAAUUUUUUUUUGUUCUUCCUCCAAACUCUUCAAUCUCUAUUUUUCUUCCUCCAAAGCCCUAACUUCCCAAAACCCUAAAAUCACAAAAACCCAAUGCAACCAUUGAAGGGCUGAGAAUUUGAUUAAAUAUAUGGAUUUCAUUGGUAGUUUUUUUCUUUUCCUUGUAAUUUUUUGCUUCAAUUUUUCUUUGAUAGCUAAGAAAAUUUUGAGAAGAGAAUAAAUUUUGAGUGAUGAUGUGUUUAAGGUUAGAGUUUCCUUUUGAUAGUUGAGAAAAUAUUGAGAAAGAGAACAAAUUUUAGGUGAUUAAGGUUAGAGUUUCCUUUUGAUAGUUGAGAAAUUUCGUAAAAGAGAACAAAUUUAGGUGUUUAGGGUUUUCUUUUCAUAAUUGAGAAAUUUCCUUUUCAUAGGUGUUUAUCUCCUAUCAAUUUAGCUUUCUUAUGACAUAUCUUAUUAUUAUUAUUUCCUUUUCAUCAACAUUGCAUCUAUUGAUUUACCUAAUAUGAAUUUUGUGUCAUAUGUUUGCAAAUCAACAAUGACUAUUUUACCAUCAAACUACAUUAUGAAAGGAGGUUUAGGCGGGAGAAAAUAAAGGCUAAUAAGAAAAACACCUAAUAGAGAGGUGAAUUGGGUUUUUCAAAAAGUUUUUCAACACUACAAAUUUAAGCACAAUAGAAGCAAAAAUAAUGAGAUAGAGUUAGAGAAUUCAAACUUAGAUUUUAUAGUGGUUUGACACUUCCUUACCUACGUCCACUUUCCUCAAGUUCCUAACCGAGUGAGGGUUCCACUAACUUGAAGCUUCAAUCAAACUUCUAAUUUUCUUUACACUUGGAUUUUGACUCCAAUAGGCUCUUACACAAUCACUUCAAGAUUCAACACACUUGAAGGCUCUAACACUCAAUUUACAAGAAUGAUCUUCUUUCAACCUAGCUCAAUAAUGGCUCAAAUACAAAUCAAAGCUAGGAUGACUCACAAGGGUACACUAAAAGAUAUGCAAGUGAAGACUUAAUGCACCAAGAAAGAAAUGAGAGCUUUUAAGGCAAGAACAAGUGGGUAGACAAUUGAAUGCAAGAGUUCUCUAUGUCAGAAAUGAAGUAGAGCUCUCAAUUUAUAGGUUUCUAACAUCGAAAGUCAAGAAAAAUAAAAAGCAGCCUCAACCAGUCGAGUUGGGGGUCGACCGGUUCACUAGUCGUUUGAACAUUUAAUGCUUUGGUAGGUUAUUGUUGCCUCGACCGGACCUCGACCAAAGGUCGACCGGGAAUGAGAAUACCUCAAUCGGGAAGGAAAGACUACUGGAUGAGAGAGUGUUUUUAACACUUCUCGACCGAAACUCGACCAGACAAAGGCAACCAAUCGAUCGGUUCCUUGGUCGGUUGAUCUAGUUGGCCAGUGUCUUGACUAGUUCAACCUUUUGACCCUGAAAACCUAUCUUUUGUGUUUUUCUCUUUUCUAACACUUAGGUAAGGUUUUUAGAUAAAUUAAUAUGCUAAUUUUGAAACAUUUUGCCUAACGUAUAGUUGAUAAAACUCGGGUUUUAAUGAAAUUAUAAUUUUAAAUAAUAAACCGAGUUUUCUAAAGAUGCAUGAAAAGAUAUGUAACACCUAAGUGCACCUAUGCAUUCAUCUUACAUUUGUUUCCUAUGAUUAAAAGUCUUCCAAAAGUCUCGAUCUUGUAUCCAUUAGGUUCUUUGAUUAAUUUCCAAAUUAAUACUUGAGGUUCUUUACAAUUCAAACCAAUUAGUAACUUAACCAUGGUUUGUUAUCAUCAAAACCUGAUUAGGAGAAUAUUUGAGCUAACAAGGCGUAAUAUGAGACUUGUACUUAAGAUUAGUGAUUAUUUGGGUGGAAAAUUGGAUCAUGUUGAUAAUUGUGACAAAAAUGUAGUGUCUUUUAUUGAGUUGGAUCAUAUGUUGUUUUGAUUAAGAUAUAAAGAUUGCAUUGGGUAUUGCUAUGCGAAUAAGAAUGGAGAAUUGGUAUGGUGCUUAGCAGAUUAAAUUGUCUUAGAAAUGUGAAACUCAUGUCCAAGGGAUAAGAAAAUCGAAGUGUUUGUCAAGCACACAGAGGUUUUAUAUCUUGCUUAAAGUGAAAUUGGGUCUUCAAAUGUUUAUAGUCAUCUUGGUGAAAGUGUUUAUGAAGUUGAAGACUCUAGGACUAAUGUAGAACUAGAACUUGAUGUAGAUCAAACACCUCAACAUGAAGAUAACAUAAAAUCAUAAUAUGAAGAGGUUAGGAGAGAUUCAUCUAGAGAUAAGUGACUUUGAUGAUGAUGAGUAUCUAGUUAGUGAUAAUGAUGACUUGUAUGACAAUUAUGUGGAUGAUAAUGAAGAGUGGGUUAGGAUAAGAGGCAAAUAAGAUAACGAGGGAAGAGUUGAGAAGGAAAGCAAAACAAUGAAUGAUGUGGAGGAUGAAAAAAAAACCUUUGUGAUGAUGAUACGAGGAGUUUAGCUAGUGAUAGCAAAGAGGAAUUUAAUAGAGACAAGCCUCGGCACCCUUAAUUUGUGGGUGAUACAGAUAUGACAAAUCCUAAGUUUAGGGUAGUGUUACUAUUCAAAAGUGUAGUUGAGUUUAGAGCUACAAUAAGGGAAUAUGCCAUAAAAAUUGGUAAAAACAUGAAGUUCAUUAAAAAUAAGAAUGACAGAGUAAGGGUAGUUUGUUCAACUAGGUCCCCUUGGGUUGUUUAUGCAACUCAAGUAAGGGAUGAUAAGAAAUUACAAGUAAGGACUUAUAAUGUAAAACAUACUUGUGGUAGGGCAUUCAAAAAUGAUAAUCUCACAUCAAGGUAUUUUCCUAUAAAAGUACUAACUAAUUCAAACUUAAGAAAGUAACUUACCUUAAAAUACUAACUAAUUCUCCAUAUAAAAAAAUAUUUCCUAUAAAAGUACCAACAACAAAAGCAGCAUAAUUAAAUACAUUUUACGAGUAUUACUUCUAAAUAGGUAUUGGCUUCUUUUAAUUAACAAGUUAAACCUUAAAACAAAUCAAAAGACAAGGAUGUUAAACAAUUCUCAUUUAUAAGAAGUUGAUAAAUUUUUAUAAAAAAAAAUAGAGGUUUUGAUAUUGACAUGGGGAUAUAUCUCAAAACAUUUUAAAAACAUGAUAAAAAAGGACGAGGUGUCAGAAGGAGAUCGACGAAGGUAACAAGAAUUUAUUCGUCCGUAUAUCCUACCUCCUUUUAGUUAGUUGAGUCGUGCAUCAAAAAAGUUCCCAUAUCACACUAUUUAUUUUUGUUUUUCUCUUUUUUCCUUUUUUUGUUUUUUUUUUCAAAUUUAAUGAGAUGUGAAAAUUAGGUCUCAUGGAACUUUGCGAAGUUGACCUAAAUUGGGCUUUUAAAUGUACAGGCCAGGCCCAAACCACACCAUAACCCGGAUGUACAAGCCAAAAGUUAAUGGGCUUAGUCUUUCUCCAAUUUUUAGACACGAAAUGUUCCUCAUUUCAGCUCAUUAAUGUACUGCCAAAAGUGAUUGUAUGUGCAUACAUCAGAGAAAGUAGGCAGUCAGUUGAUGACAUUUACUGUGUACUUAGAAGUUAAAAAAUGAAUGUGUGGUCAUUGUCAUGUACCAGCAAUUAAUUUUGAUUAAAGUAAAUAAAGAUAGUGUGGGUGAAAUAAUUGUUAUAUGUGGAUAUUAAUUCCCGAUGAUGUAUUAUAUUAGGUUGAUAGUUUUUUUCAUUAAUAUGCAGUACUAGUCGCAUACAACUUACUUCCUUAAGUCUGAAUUACCAUUAUCAUUUUAAAUUACUCAAACCUGUUCGAUUCCAAAACUAGAUGAUAUAAACGUUCGAAGAAGUAAGACAAAAUCAAUGAUAACGUAAAAGUGAAAAAAAGAAUUAAAAAAUGGAGAAAGACAUGAACUUUGGAAAGGCACUAGGAAAAGUGAUGGAAAUAUAGUUCAAAAGUUUUGCAGAUAGUUCAAAUACAUUUGUAACUUAAGAUGAAUAAAAGUAAAUAUAAGUUCAAAUUAAUGAACAAAUAUUAUUUAAAAUUAAUGAGAAUAAAUAUAUUAAUUUAAUUAUUUAAAAUAAAUUUUAAGUUAAUUUUAUUCAAUAAUUUUAAUAUUUAAAUUUAAAAGGAAGUUUUAAAUCAAUAUUAACUUAAAAUUAACUUAAAUAAUUAAGUAAUAAGUUUUACCCGACAUCCUUUUAAUUAUUCACUAUUGAUUCAUCUUUCUUUUACCAUUUCUCUUAUCCAAUUUAAAACAUUAGAAAUUCAUCCAUUUAUGUUUUCUAUUUAAUCUCUUUAGCAAACUCACCGUAUUUGAGUAGUUAAAUUAAAUCAUAUGUUUCCCACUUUUUGGGAUUUUGAGAAAAAAUAAAUAAAUUUUAAAAGAUAUUUAUUAAAAUAUGAUAAUUUUAAAAAUAUUUUAAAAUUUAUAAUAAUGGAUAAAAAAAUCCAAUUGGAAAUGUUUUUGAAGCAUCAUAUUUUAAUAAAUAUUAAAAAAUAGUUUUUUUUCUUCUUUUUUUUUUUUCCCUCAAAAUCCCCAGUUCUUGAGCAUCACUCUCCCACUUCUAGUUAAUUUGCAACCGCAUGUUCCAAUUUCGUUUGUUGAUGAGACAUUUCAAUAAUCUCAUUUAUUAUUCGAACUGCUCUCACAGGUUUAGACGUUUCUUUGCCUUGUGCCUUGGCUAAGGAUAAUCUAGUUUUUUCUUAUCAUGCACCAUGUUAAGGUAUGGGAAAUUGUCUUAAACAAAAAUAUUGUUCAGCAUUUAAUGCCCAUUAGACUUAAUUUCAUUUACCUUCCCUUAGAUUUUUGCUAAUACAUUUGAUUCUUAUAAAUUUAAAAUUUCAUCAAAUAUCUUUUUUAUUUCUUUUUAUUUUUUAUUUUCAUUUACCUUUAUUCUCAUUCAAAAUAAAUAAAGUAUAUAAUAAAAUUUCAAAUUUAUGAAAACCAGGUAUAAUUAGUCAAAACCUUAGGAGAAUGAAAUUAACUCAAUCCCACUGUAUAUUCUUGUAUGAUUAAGUAUUAAGAUGAAUAUAAUAUAUCUUUAAUAUGAGUAUAAAUAAAUAUAAUAUCAAAUUAUAUAUAAAAAUGAUAGUUCAAUGUUACUAGGGAUGACAACUGGGCGGGUUCGAGCCAGGUCACCCGCGUCCCAACCCCGUCCCGUUUAUUCGAAACAAUUCUCAUACCCAUCCCAUUUAAAAAGUUAAACGGAGCGGACAGGUACGACCAUUUAACUUUUUUUUGAAUUUGAAUUUGAAUUUUUUUUUAAAUUACUUUGAAAAAUUUUAAUUAUAUUAAAAUAAAUAUAUUUUAUAAAUAAUUAAAUUAUUAUAUUUUUAUAAUUUAUUUUAUUAAAAAUAUUUUAUUAUUAUCUAUAUAUUAAAAAUAGUAAAAUAAAAAUUAAAUUAAAUUAAUCUUAAAUUUUAAAUUUAAUUUAAUUUUAUAUAUAAUUGGGACGGGGCGAGGGCGGGCAAUACCCGAACCUCGCCCGGGUUUUUUAAAAAAUAUUUUAUUAUUUGAUCAUCGAACCUCCCAGAAAUGAAUUGAUGAUCAAAUAAUCCAAGAAAAAAAGCAUCAAAUCUAUGAUAUGUGUAAUGAAAGUAAGUAAAUUAAGAAGCUCGUGUUAGGCAUGAACCUGUAUCAUAUGAACCUUCCCAAAACCAAGGAGACUCGCAUUAGCCUAUUUUAUGUGCUUCACUUGCUGUAUAUUAGUAGGUGUAUGAAUAGAAUAUUAAUCUUUCUGAAGAAAAAAAAAAAGGGAAGAAGAAGACUCGAGUGCUCCUUUUUAAAUGCUUCCCUUUGGAUAUCAUUAUAUCAGCAUGGACUAGCUGGCAGCAGCCUGUUACUUACUCGAUUGGAAUUAUGAAGCCUGCAUGCAAUGAGCUGGUGAUUCAUAUUUCACAGGUGGGAUGGAACUUCCAGUUUUGCCACUUUUGUGUUUUACUUUUUUCAUAUCCUCUCCUAUUCUAGUUUCUUCUCAUUCCUUCUAUUUUCUGGACGUUGUCUUUCGUUCAAGCCUAUAAUAUGUUGUCAUGUAAUAAAAAACUUUGUAUCAUUUAUAUAUUAAAAAAGUUAAAUUUUAUUUAUUUUUAAAUUAAUUUUAAGUAAAGUAUUCUCAAUUAUUAUUAUUAUAAAUAAUUAUCAUUUAUUUUUCACAAAAACUCAAUUGUACUUUUAAAACGAUAUUAAUAUCCAUAUUUUUCUAAUAUAUAUUCAAGUGCUAUGGUUUUUUUUUUUUUAAAUGAAAAAUGUAAUUGUUUAUUACUUUUAUUGUAAUAUUAUUAUUUAUAUUGUACUAAAAACUAUUCAUUUAAAAUUGAUUUCUGAUAAUAAAUAUCUAUUUUCUUUUUUAAUAAUGCUUAAAUUGAAUUCAACAAAUAUCAUAUCAAUUGAAUUUAUAAUGAUUUUACAAAAUCAAAAUAAAUGAAAUUUAAAAAUAAAUUAUCCAAUUAAUUUUAUUCCUUUUUUUUCUUUCAAUUUUUGAUAAAUGUUUUAAAGAACAAUUUAUCAAACGUUGUAAUUUUUAAAAAAUACCAAAAAACAAUUUUUUGAUAAAAACAAACAUGUGGCAAAAACAAAUCUUAUACAUCUAAAAAUAAUAAUGGUUUUCAUUUUUAUAAACUACUAAAAAACACUAAUUAUGAAAAAAAUAAACUUGAAAAAACAAACUUUAUACAUUUUAAAAUAAUCAUGAUUUUAUGUAUUUUUUUUAUUAAAUGUGAUAUCUUUUGUCGAUCAUGUAUUAUCUUUUAGUGGUUAUUUUUUUUAGCCCUUCAUAUUUAAUGUAAAUAUGCUAAAUCAUCAUAGGUUUUGAAUUUGGUCAACUAGAACCUUAUCAAUACAUUUUAUAUAUAAAUACUGCAUUUUCAUUUAAGAUAUUUAUACCAGAAAUCUCUGAAAAAAAUAAAUUCCCAAUUGGAAGGGAUGCUAAUAGACAGUUUAAAUUGAUUAAGUAUAUUUAUACCAAAUGUUAAUGGUGCCAAUGAAAUUAGCCCCAUCUUUUUAGGAUACGGAUGAAAGUUACACAGAAGAUUAAAAUGAUUUUUGUGCCUUUUUUUAUGUUAAAUGAAAAAUACUUAUUCUCUCUUUUACCCCUAUUUGAUUGAGGGGUUGGUUUAUUUCACUGCCAGCCAACCUAAUAAGUUUGAAACGUUUUUUAAAGCUUUGUUUUUCGUAUUUUAGUAUUGACAAACCCAACUUUCACUUCAGGUGUUGCAAUUGAUAGAAUCAAAGACAGGACAUGGAUCAAAUUAGUGGCGCAAGCAGCAGACAAGGUAUGAAUUGAGGCUUCUCUUUGAUACACCUAACCAUGUAACGUAUAUUUAUGAAAAUCAAAUAAAAUUAUUUGCAAAACUAUUAAACAGUAUGAUUAAUACAUUACAGUUCUGUACAAUAUAUAUCAACCCAAUUACUCACCGCGUAGCUUAUUAGAUUUUUCUAUUUUGAAUUAAAUUAAACUGCCAAAUGCAAUAUAUUUUCAGAUAUUUGUAAACUCUAAUUGAGAGUGUCAAAGGUUUAUGCAACAUAUUUUGUAACUAAACUACCAAAUGAGGAAUAUUGUUAAUUAUGCUAUUCGUAAAGUCUUUUAGUAUUUGAGUGGUACCAUUAGCUAUGGUCUGUGUUAUAAUGGAUUUCUAAGUGUCCUUUUAGGAAUUAGUAAUGCAAUUUUGAUCUUGAAUUUAGAUGAUAUGAAAUCCACUUACGGAUAUGUUUUCAUCCAUGGUUGACGUGCAGUUUUUUGGAAGUUUACCAAGCAAACUUGCAUUACUUGGUUCACUGUGGAGGUUGAGUUCAUUGCUUUAGAAAAAGUAAGUUUUGAGGGUGAGUAGCCUAGAAACCUCUUAAUAGAUAUCCCUAUAUGGACGAGACUAGUCUAGCCCAUGGCCAUGCAUUGUGAUAGGCACGUUGCAAUUGCUAAGACUAGGGAUAAAAUACUUAAUGGGAAGAAUAAGAAUAUAAGCCUAAUGCACCAUAUUUUGUAGUAGCUACUUGAAACAUGGGUAAUAUGCCAAGAAAUUGUGAGUUAGGAGUUUAAUUUGGCCGAUCUUUGAUCAAACCAUUAAAUAAGAAACUAGUGGAAGAAACAUCCAAGGGAAUGAGACCUAUGCUUAGUAUAAAAGUAAAGAGUGGUGGUAACCUAAUUUAUUAGAAUGCAAAUUUUGUAAAAUAGGUUUUUAUGAGUAAUAACAAUUCACUUGUUGACUUGAGCUGCAGUAUCAAUAUUAAUUGUAUUAGAGCCUAUCCCUAUUGUGUAGAUAGAGUGUAUUUUGCAUUGACAAACGUUGAGUGUUUACUUUUAGUAAAUAUCAUAUUCCUUGUGAAUGUUAUGUUUAAUGUAUAAUAUACUUGAUGGAUUUCCUUCUAUGAGAUUGUAGGUGGGGUCGUAGACAAAUUCUUAGGAGCUCUCAUGAAUAUUCAAGUAGGGCUCAUGGUCAAUUUGUGCCAACCUAUUUUAUACAACUUGGAGUUUCAUAAAAAAACAUUGGUUCAUAAAUAUUUAUUCUCAUCGUGUUUUAUGUUCCAAAUGUCGCCGACAUAGCCUUCGUAUUUGUUGUGGUUGAGAUUGGUGUUGAUCCGCUCCGAAUUCAUGUAUGCGAUAGUACCCAUCGAUGAGUUACACGGAUCUAUGGUCUCAACCAAGAUCUGACUCACUUCAAAGUCGACGAUCUUCACUUGUCGCCUGGCAUUGAUUAGGAGGUUCAAGGGUUUGAUGUCGCAAUGUUUGAUUUCCCAACGAUGGAGGUAGUGGAGGCCAAAGAGGAUCUGAAAAGUGAGAUUCGAGAGAGCGAGCUCGAAGGAGAAAAUACAAAGGAAAAACACUAUUUCCCUCUAUAUUUUCUUAGCUAUAGAAGAAAAAACUAAAGCAAAACAGUGUAAAAAAAAAAAAUACUAGUAAAAUCCACUUCAAUCAAACUCUUAGCUUUCAAUGUGUGCAUUUGGAAUUUGAGGCUUUUAGAGCUUGGAAGGUUAGGGUUUCAAAUGAAGGAUGAAGAUGAAGAAUUAGGGAGAGUUCUAUUAGGGUUUUUAGGUGAUUGAAUUUACAAAUCUACCCUUAUUUAUUCAGUCACGCAUGUGAUAUUUUUGUCUAUUAAAACUAAUACAAUCUAAUAAAAAAGGCAAAGUAUUGGUAUUUAUGAAGUUUGGAGAGCAAUGUAUUCAAUUUUGAACCUGAAAGGACAAUAAACAAAACAUGUUUUAGGUUGAGAGGGUAAAAAGUAUAUUAAACUUUGAUAAUAAUAUUUGAAAGUAGUGGUGCAUAUAAAGAAAAUCAGUGACACAGAUCAACCCACGUAUUUUAUUGUUUGUUAAAAAAGAAUUUACAAGUUUCCAAUGCAAUCAACCAUGAUCAACUAUCAAUUCUAUAUAAAUUAUAUUUACAACUAGUUACAUAUUAAUGACUUCAGAAAUAAAUACAAUUCGUAAUGCAGCAGGCUUAUCUGCCCUUCUACUUCUCCAAAAGGAUAAGCUUCUUGUACAACCAAGUUGCCCAACUUCUCUUUAGAAAAACGCAAUACUGCUGUCUGCCAUUUUUUAGCUUCUCUUCUUGUUCCAACCAUAAACAAGAUUUGUCAUGCUUAAAUUCCAGUUUCCGAGCAAUUGCAUGUACAUCAAUAGAUGGGUUUCUUUAGCUUCUCUGCAAAAGGCUGAACGCUUUGCAAUAAUCUUCUUCCAACAAAAAGUCAAAAUGUACCCAUCGAUCGAUAUCUUUUCUUUAAUUUUUUUCUUUUCAUCAAAGUGAAGAAAGGAGAGUACUUUUAUGUCAGCUUUAUUCAUAAAGUCUCUAAAUGGAAUCAUGAUGUAGAAUGAAAAUCAAGUGGAUGCUUUAUCACUGGUUCUUGGACAGAUGGGAUUCUUUGUUCAUUCAUGAUUCAACCCAUCAAUGUCCAUUUAAUUUUUUUUAAUUUUAUUAUUAUUAUUAUUAUUAUUAUUAUUAUUAUUUUUGCUUUAAAAAUAAGUAAGUAAUGUGAAUAGGAUUUCAAAGAUUCCUGCAAUAUCACCUUUACAAAUUUUAUUUUUUUUUUAUUUUAUUAUUAUGCCUUCGAGGUGUGGGAUUGACCUUUUUUUAUUUGAUAAGAAGUAAAGGAAAGUAUAGCUGUUUAAACUUUAAACAGAUGAUUCAUGAAAAUAUUUAGUGAUUAAGGGUUUGUUUGGUUGCCUUUUUUGAGAACUAUUUUUUGUUUUUAAAAAUAAAAAAUAUUAAAAAUAUAUUUGAUAAAUAUCUCUUUUUUAGAGAAAAAAAUAUUAUUUUUUUUUAUUUUUUGACCAUUGAGAGAACUAAAAAGAAAGGCAUCAGAGAAGAAUUGUUCUUUAUAUUUUCUUUUUUCUAUUCUCACUUUUUCCUAUAUGUAGUUUCUCAUCCAAGAUGAAACAAAGUGAAACCAUUUGUUUUUUUGUUUGUUUUAUCAUAUUGAAACCUUUAUUUUAUUUUUGUUUUUUUUUUAAAUAUAAUUUUCUUUUGGAAUUGGAUUAUGGAAUCAUUUCUCAAUUCUAUUAUUCAAAUGGGAUCUAGGUGGUUUUUUAAUUCCAUCAAGUGUUUUUUGUUUUUAAAUUUUUCUCGUUUGGAUGUUAAGAAAAUUAGGGAAAGAUAAGGAAAAGAAUUUGACAUGAGUAGAAUUUUUUUGGGUGGUUUUAAGUAGGAUUUUUCUUGGGUUAUUUUUAGGAUUUCAAUACGAUUGCUUAUUUAUGUUUGUAAAUUCUCUUUUGGUAUAUUCAAUUCUAGAAAUGAAGUUAAACGCCACGCAUCACAUUUAAAAAUUCUGUCAACAUCAACACAAUACUUUUCAAAGUAUUGUGAAUUUUUUUUUAAAGGUAAAUAAAAGAAUAUCUUCAAAUAUCCGAAAUUAUUCAAACAUGGAGGAAAUAUAUUCUUUUGAAAGAAGAGAAAAUGAAAAGAAAAACAAAAUUGACAAAAGAAAUAGUAGUGGUUAGGCUUGGUUUGAUUACAGCCUAUGCAGGCAAGUUAUUAAAGAGGAGGUUGGGAUGGGCCUCCACAAAAGCAAUUCGCCAUUGACGUGAUUAAAUGCAGCCGAAAGUGUAAGAUCAAGCAUUCAAAGCUCUAUAUAAAAUCACAAAAUCAUGUGGUUGCUUUGUUAUUCAUUCAACCCGUCAUUGUCUUUUUAAUUUUUGUAAUUUUUUUGCUUUAGAAAAGUUAUAAAUAAAUAAAUAAAAAGUAGUGUGAAUGGGAUGAGAUUUAAAAGAUGGGUACCAUGGAAUCACCUUUACGAACUUCAUUUUUUAUUUUUUUAAUUAGGACUUGGAGACUUGGAAUUGACUUUCACCCUGUCAUUGUCUUUUUAAUUUUUGCAAUUUUUUUUGCUUUAAAAAAGUUAUAAAUAAAUUUAAAAAAAAAAAAAAAAAAAAGUAUGAAAUGGGAUGGGAUUUCAAAGAUGCCUACCAUGGAAUUACCUUUACAGUUUUUUUUUUUUAAUGAGGACUCAAAGAGUUAGGUGGCGUUUAUUUUUUAUAUUUAAUUUUAAAUAAAAUUUUAAUAUUUAAUAGUUUAAAAUAUUAGAUUGUUUAUUUUUAUAGUAUUUUAUUUUUGUUAAAUAUUAAAAAAUAAAAAAAAUCAGUAUAUUAUUUUUUUUAUUUAAAAAAAUUAUAUAUUUUGAUUUUUUUUAUUUAUUAAAAAAUUUAUAAUAAGUCAUAAAAAAAAUAGAAAAAUAAAUAACUUAAAUUUUAAAAAUAAAUUACUUUCAAUAAAAAACUAAAAAAAUAAACACCGCUGAGGGAUUGACUUUUUUAUUAGAUAAGAAGCAAGAGAAACUAUCGUUGUUUGAAUAGAGGAUUCGUAUAAAUAUCUACUGACUUGACUCUUUUCCAUGUACACAUGGAGUACAUAAGAAUCGAAGGACUCGUUUUGUUUUGUUCUUUUAUUUUAAAUUUCAGAACAAGGCUUUGAGUUUUAUCUAGAAUAAGGUAAUUUUGCAUCUGGAUUUGGAUUUGUGAUAUUUUACCUCAUGCUUUUCAUAUUCGCAUAGUCUUUAGGAGACACGAAAACAUCAUUAUAUGUUUUGUAAAGGACCUUUUUUGACAUUCCCCAAUUAUUAAAAAGUUUGGAGAAGGCACGGCCUGUAUUUAAGGAUACACAGGGUCUUGCUAGUUUUUGGAGAAGGACAGCUUACUCGAAGCUGCUUUCAAGCAGUACUACUUGGGGGAACCUUUUCAGGUAUGGCGGCUGUAAGCUUCUUUUUAUUUUUUUAUCAAUUUGCUCCAUGUUCUGCCCAUUUUCUGGAUUGAUGUGGAAAUUAAGGUUUAAAUGGUGUUUUUGCUGAAUCUGAAUUUGUUUUCAUACUUUGUUUUGGUUUUCUACUGAUCCCUUUUAUUUUUCCUCUAAAUACCUAACGUUUGGAUUGUUCUUGAGUUGGAUACUUGCUAAUCAUGCCACAGCUCUCUGCUUGUCCCACUUACGUUCAAGCCCAUGGAUAACACAAUGAAAUGUGGUUCUCUCUAACUAUUUGUCUGUACCACUUUUGUAUUUUACUUUCUUCAGAUCCUCCCCUAUUCUAGUUUCUUCUCCUUCCUUCUAUUUUCUGGACAUUGUCUUUCGUUCAAGCCUAUAAUAUGUUGUCAUGUAAUGAAAAACUUUGUAACAUUUAUAUAUUAAAAAAGUUAAAUUUUAUUUAUUUCUAAAUUAAUUUGAAGUAAAGUGUUCUCAAUUAUUAUUAUUUUAAAUAAUUAUCAUUUAUUUUUCACAAAAACUCAAUUGUACUUUUAAAACGAUAAUAUCCAUAUUUUUCUAAUAAAUAUUAAAGUGCUACGCUUUUUUUAAAAUGAAAAAUGUAAUUUUUUAUUUUAUUAUUAUAUUAAUAUUUAUAUUGUACUAAAAACUAUUCAUUUAAAAUCGAUUUGUAAUAAUAAAAAACUAUUUGCAUUUUUAAUGAUGCUUAAAUUGAAUUCAACAAAUAUCAUAUCAAUUGAAUUUAUAAUAAUUUUAUAAAAUCAAAAUAAAUAAAUAAUUUAAAAAUAAAUUAUCCAAUUAAUUUUCUUUUUUUUUCUUUCAAUUUUUUAUAAAUGUUUUCAAGAACUGUUUACCAAACACUGUAAUUUUAAAAAAUACAAAAAAAAACUCACUUGUUCAAAUCUUGAUCUAUAAAUGUGAUACAACGAAUUUUGUCACAAUCUUCUCUCUCUUUUUCUUGAAUAUCUUCAAUUAAUUCACGAGGCAUGUUGUUUAACUCUAGUCUUCGAAGAUUUUUCAGUCUCAACAAUCCACUAAAAAGCCUUUCUAGUUUACAACAAUUGUUAAUUUGCAAAAUUCGUAGACAAGGCAUUACUCAUUUCUUCACUUUCAAUUUUCAACCACUCUAAUUGGUGCAACCAAUCUAAUUUUAGUAGCUCAAGUCUAAGGAACCUUCCAAAAAGCAAAACCAAUUCAUUUCCCACAUAUGCAAAACUCAUUAAUUUAAGAACCCUCACGUUUGGCAACAUAAUUAUAUCCCUUGUUAUUCAUCCUUUUUUACAUUCCUCAAUUAUUAGGAAGGAAUUAAAAACAAAUAUUUUGGGCUAAAACGAAGUAAAUGCUCUAAAAAAUAUUAGUGUUGCACAAUUUAUUUUACUAUAAAGGUAGGUUAUUAAUUUGACAAUUUUAAUAUAGGAAAGCAAUGUCACAUCCCAUUAAAAUUUUGAAAAAUGCCAAAAAUAAAUUACAUAAAUUACAUGCUAAAUUACAGGAUUGAAAACAAUGAAACAUAGGAUUGAAGUUUUUACAGAGAUAUGUGGUAGCACUCUGUCUAGAUAUCUUAUUCUCGCACUAACAAUGGCUGUAGAGAUCGAGAUGAAUCCUGCGGAUGACGGUAGCCAGAUUAGAACCAUGGCUGACUUAAAAUCCGAAAUUGAUCGACCACGAACCAUGCCUGCAUCAGCAACUGUAAACCCACGAUGUCCCAAGGUUCCAAAGUCGUUGUUGCCAUCAGAUGCCCAGGGUUCUGAGCCUUCUGACGACCACCCUUAUGAGCCAAUGGUCAUGUCUUUGGGUCCUUACCACCAUGGCAAUCCGAAGCUCGUACGUGGAGAAAAGAUCAAGCUUCUAUUGGCGCUAGAUUUCUUCGAUGAUUUGAAGCAACCCAGCACUGUUGACCAGCCCGUAGACCAACCCGUAGACCAGACAAAAAAGAAGGUAGUCGAUGAAUUGUACAGCAGAAUUAGCAGUGUUGUUAGUAGGUUGAGGGACUGUUAUGAUAAGGAGUCGAUAGAGAAUUAUUCGAAUGAACAAUUCAGUGUGAUGAUGCUGGUGGACGGGUGUGCUUUAAUGAGGUACAUUCUUUAUGCUUGCAUUCAUCGUGACCGUGACCAUGAAUCUUUCGAUAUCAGAUAUGAGGAUCUAAGCCUUCUGCAUAGGGAUGCGAUGCUGCUGGAGAAUCAACUUCCCUAUGAAUUAAUCAUGGAAGUGCUGAAGAUGAAUAAAACAUGGAAUCCUUCUUUUUGGAAAAUGCUAUGCGUGGAAUUCUGUGGCAUGACCCUGUGGGAGGUGGAGCCAUACUCAUUCCUGCAAAAAAUGAAGAAAUUUUGCUGCGGCCGGUUCCCCGCAAUCGGCCAAAUUAUUAACCGGCAGCGGAGGCCAAACCCUGAUGAAGAAUCAGGGAGAAACACCAAUGAAGAAUCUGGGAGAAACACUGAUCAUCUCCUCGAUCUGUACUGGGAUAAUUUCCUAGGAGCCAAAUGUUCUAGCCACUUAGAUUAUUUCCUAGGAGCCAAUUGUUCUAGCCCAACGCAUGGGGGGGAUAAAACUGACUGUAUGGGAUCAAUUGUUGAUGUGAAGGAGCAGGUAAUGGCAUCAUUUAGAAAUGUGAAGGAUCUUAUGGCCGCUGGAAUCCGCAUCAAGCCUAGCCCUACACGUUUUUUGAGGGACAUUUCUUUCACUUCCAAUUGCGUCACUGCAUACCUCAGACUUCCUCCCAUCACCAUUGAUAAGUCAACCAAGGAUAUGUUCUUCAACUUGAUAGCCUGGGAAAUGAGCUCAAAUAAGCCCCAUGACUUCAUCUCUUACCUUCGCUUCCUUGAUUCCCUCAUUGAUGAUGCUGAUGACAUUAAGGAGCUGCAGUCCGCCGGGGUACUCCAAAACAAUCUAGGUACUCAUGAAGAAGUGGCUAAAUUCUUCAACACUGUGUCCGCCAAGUUGGUAUCAAACUUUCAUGCUUACAAUGAUGUGAGAGUCAAAAUUCGGGAGCACCUUAAAAGUUACCGUAACAGCAAACUGAAAAGAUGGUUGACACUGUGCCUGGACACCUACUUUGGUAGCCCCUUGAAAAUAAUAGCUUGGGUUGGUGCUGCUUUGAUCCUGUUCCUUACUGCCGUCCAGACUUAUUUCACAGCCUUCUCUCAUUGAUGCAUUCAAGGCCUGCUUUCUCGCUAUCUAUUGAGUGCUUCUGCAUUUUACCUCGCCUAAAUUCAUGGACUCCAUAUAACCCUUUGAUGUGCAAAGUAAAUUAGGCAAAGAGUCAUUGGUCCCGUUUCUUUGCCAUUUCAGCCUAUUUUCUACCUUCCUUUCCGGAUUUAAAACAAGUAAAAAAAUGAAUGUAUGCUGUGAUCUUAUUUUAGUGUAUUUUGUGCUUAUGUACGCAUAAGUAAUAUUAUGUUUGAUUUAAGUAACUAAAAAUAGACAUGGG